GAGCAUCACACAAACCGUGAUAUUAACAGAAAAAAUGAAUACAAAACUUAGAUAGCACGCGACUACAUUGUCAACAAGAAUUGUAGAUCCCAGUUCUGGAAUAAGAAUAAAAAUACAGGUUUUUUAUUUUGUCAAACAAAUAGCCCAGAAGACAAUCCAAGAUAAAUCUUUGAUAAAAACAAGGUAAUAUACUUAACGAUGUCCCCUUUGUCAGACAGAGAUAUCAAUUACCCUGUUCUUGUGCUGUCUUUACGAGUUCUUGUGCUUCUUUCACUAGAGAAGCGAGAGACCUCGCUGGCUUGAUCACCUCACCAUCAUUCCCAGCAAAGAGCAUGCAGUUAUCAACCUCCGACAUGGUUCCCAAAGUCUCGGUCAGUGCUUCCUUGAAAUUAUGUUCAUUGAAACGUUGGAUGCAGCUGGGCUUGGCUUGAAUCAUAGCUAUCACCAUCUGGCAGGUAAGUUUCACUACUCUCAAACACUCAGACUCAGCCGUGCAUUGCUUGUUUGCUUCCAGUAUGUCUUUUAGCUUCUUCGCAAGUGCUGCAUCUUCUGGGGUGGAUCGAGCAAAAUCUUCUCUACUGAUCACAUUUUCGUUGCAUAUCACCACGGCGAGGGAUAACAUGGCUGCCAUAAACUUUCUUUCUUCUGUGGGCUGGUUUUCCUCAAAAUUUUCUGCUGCAUCUGCACUUGUUCCCAUUUUACUAGAUAAUAUUUGAUCGAGCACCUGUAACAAACAUAAUUUAAUGCAUAGGACCAGCAGUAUUGAUGCAACUCAUCUCUAGUGGAAAUUUUUGUACACUACAGAAUUAAGAGAAAUUAACUGACAUCUGAGAAUUGGUAAUAAGAUCCAACAUGAUGCAGAGGCAGAAGAAGCGAGAGUUGUUGUCAAUUUUUCUUUUGUUCUAAACAAAAAUAGGCAGAGGUAGCUAGUUACCUUGGUCAAUAGGUUGAUCACCUCUUGCUUGGAAAUUAUAUCAGCAACAUUAACAUCUCUUUCUCUUGCAGUGCUAACGCGAAGCAAUCUGGCCAGUGCUUCCCCUGCUUUUCCCCUCAUCAGUCUGGUGGCAUUUUCCCUGUCUGCUUGUUCCACUUGAACUACAGUAUUGUUGCUGGACGCUUCCUCAAGGAAGAUGCAUAGCAGGGCCUUGAGAAGCUUGUUAAACUCCAGCUUUUUGAAAGAAUCAUCAAAGGCUAACUCCGUCAGGAUCUCCAGGGCUUGUCCAUGCAGUUCUUGGGCAGCUCCGCUGUCAUUCUCCAAAGUAGCCAUCAGAUUGCUGACAGCUUCUGUGGUACUCGCAAGUUCCUGGCGCAGCCUUGUGGCGCCAUCCCCAUGGCAGGCAAGUAUCCUGCUUAACGCUGUGAGUGACUUGCUUAGCAUUCGAACAACCAUUGUGUCCUCCCGCACAGUGUUGAGAAAGUCAGGGCUGCUCAGUGGUGAUGUGAUCUUAGAGAGCAGCCUUGGGUGUUUGCUUAUCUCUGCACAGUUCUCUUCGCCCUGUGUGAGCCCCUCGAGAAUCAGCAGGCCUUGAGAAACCAUCCCUCUGGCUCCUCCAGAUUCAUGUUCAGUUUGGUCCUUGAUCUGCAGUACUGUGUCAGCAGCUUGUGGCUCACAAGAUUGCUUAUUACAGCUUUCAAGUAGGGAACAGAUGCAUUGCAGUGUACCCGGGAAGUGAGCUAUAUUGAGGUCACUGGCAAGGUGUGCUACAAUCCUUGCGGCACGCUCUCUGUUCUCGACGUUAUCAGCUGUGCCUCUCAGACCAAUCAUGCCGAUCAGAUUCUGAACCGAGAUCCUGGAAGACAGUAGCUUUUGUCUUACAGACUUAUCCUCACUGAACAACUGGUCUAACACCCUUGCUCCCCAUAGAUGGUCGUCAUCCCCAGAUGCAGACUGGAGCUUCUCUACACCGUAUGCGAUCAAGUUCCAAUUGUCAGGAAGCUCCCCGUCCUUCCUGAACUUCCUAGCUGUUUCUGAAUAGUAGAGGGAAACGAUUUCUUUACGCCUUUCUUCAAGCCCACAGUGUUUUUCCGUUCGUGAUUGCAAUCUACCCUUCACACUGAAAAUGACUAUGUAGUAGGAGGCGAAUAAACUCUGGAACAGAAUUAGGCCAUAGAAGAUGUCCAGUGCGGCGUACAGUUUUGAUCUGUUGCCAAUAUCUCCACCCACAUCGUCGUAAUCUCGUCGUACAAGACGCCACACUGCGACCCCCAGGUUCACAAAUGGCGAAAGAACAUACAGAAAGGUAAAACACACGAUAAAAAUCCACUUCAGUACUUGCACCACACGCAGCACGAUUACAACCUUAUGCGCCUCGAACCAUUUCUGUUGCCGGAGAGUAUCAAUGAUGUCAUCCUCUUCCCAAUAAAUCCCUUUACUGAGCUCGUUGUUACUAAUUUCCGCCAUCCUGCGUAAUAUGUUGGAAAAGCUAAGGUUGUCUUUGUCCAUCGAUAUGACCAUUAAAAUUCAGGAUAUGGUGUCACACAGAAUUGGGACUUAGCUGCUUGCGGCAGUCACUCCAUGGCUAAUUACAAGACAUUUUUUUUUCUCUUUAGGAGUUGGAAGAGGUAGACACUCUAGCGGGACAGCCACAAUAUAGUUCAAGAACCGUUACUAUGCAUUUUGGAAGUUUCGGGAUCACGAUAAGAAUGCGGAACAAGGUUAAGAACUGCUGGUAAUAUUUACUCUAGUUCCUUUUUAACAAAAAUAUCGACUAUGAACACAGCCGCUUCCUGUACAACUACCGGGAGUAGGUUAAGGGUUAGUUAUAUAACUUUAAAGGCCAUUUUGGUCCAUCUAACUUUAAACUUAUCUUACACCAAAAAGAAGAGACAACAAUGGAUAUGCAAACAGUUAAACUAGCAAGGUCGAGACCAAAGCAGGUUACUUAAUUUUCCCUUAGACGCAACAUAUGGCCGAUGUUUUAUCAUUGUCUUUAUAUAUUUUUGGUUUACAAGAAUAUUUUUUUUCACAUGCAUACUUUGUCUAAAAACAUGAAGGCCAUAUGCUAAGUGUCGGGAUAGAUCCCUAUUACCCGCAAGGAAGGAAGAAGACGGACUCCAACUAAGAUUCUGUAAUCCAACUACAAAUCAAACCAUGUAAUACUACUAGGACUCCUCCUUGUAACCGACCAGUUAUCCCGAUCCCUGGAGUAUAUAAAGGAGGGCAGGGUACCUAGAUCGGCAGAACCACAACAGAGGACCAAAUCCUCAAUACCAAACAACACUCAAGUACAUGGCGCAAUAUACAACACCCUAAAUAGGAUGUAGGGUAUUACGCUACACUGGCAGCCCGAACCUGUAUAAAUCCGUGUCUUGUGUCCUCAUUUUUAUCAUCAAGUUCCAAGUCCGACGAUUCCCCACCAACCAAUCUACUACCUCGGGAUACCCCUCGAUAGGUUGCCGGGUAUAAAACACCGACAUCUGGCGCGUUAGGUUGGGAUGAUCGUUGAGAUCAUCGGGCAAGCUUGAAGGACCUCAUCUUCAAAAUCAAUCUACUCGACGAGAAGCAAGUCGCCGAGUUCCAAUUCGAAGCGGAUAUGGAAAGCUUGCGGGAGAUCAUCGGUUGUCGGCUUGUCUACAUGCAAAAAGCUGCAGCACUGGUCGCACUGCUAUAGCUGGUCAUCCUCCGUGGCUCUGUGCGUCGCUCAAGGCUGAUGAUCCGCUACUGAUCCACACCUGUGAGAAGGAAAAAUCCUGGCAAAAUUAUUUUUCCGUCUUCGAGUUCAAGUCACCGACGAUGCAUCUUAAGCUAAUUGCUUCCAGCUGCCAAAUCCUAUACUAAAGCAAUGAAGGCCAAUCAAUAUUCCAUCUACUGCUCGUGCGCAGAUUGAGGAAACUACCAGCUCGAUUACUCUCCGUGCAAGGCUACUUUUCAGGGUUUCAGUACACGUACCAGGAAGGCCACUAGGAGAUCUGUUCCUCUUCACUACAUGUACUCAAGAAAUGCACGUGGAACUUCAGAAUGCAUGACUACGCUAGCUUCACAAGAGCACUCAACGACACAAUAACGACUACCUAAAACUUCUCGUCUCAACUACAAACUAGUCGAGGGUGGGUUCCACGUGAUCAACAACUAGUCGGAAUCGACUCCGACUAGUCGGUUUCAUCAACAACCGCCGCGGCUUCAUGACGACCACCACGGGUUUGUCGAUAAUCGUCCACGAAUCAAGCUAAGUCACUUUUUUAAUUAUUUCAUAUAUUUUUUCGGGCUUGUUUUCCACAUGAUGGGCAACGUGCUGAGUACUUAUUUGUGUACGCCUCUCAACGGGAAUUAGCCACCAGAGCCACACUUUGCCGAUUAUUCCUGGGGUAUAUUGACCGACCGCCACGGGCUUGGUACAUCAAAUUAUGGAGGCUAUGGCCACGGGUUUGGCGCACAGAGUGUUGGAGGCUUGUAGCGGCUACACCCUAAGAAGGCACAAAUCCUAUAUGCGAACACACGCUCUUCUCGCUAAAAGGUAGAAAAGUCUCAUCGACUACUUUAUGCAAUCACGCUCUCUUUUUGUUGCAAUGUCGACUACUUAUUUUUGUUGUCUCCUAUUAGUGGCCACUAAUCUCCUCGAGUAGAACAUGUCUCAAUUCGUGAAAGCCUCGAAUCUUAUGUCAUACCUAAAUGUUAGGACGCGUACACGAGAGAAAGAUCUCAGAUGUGUAGCAGCAGUGACAGUACGCGUACACGAGACGAAGAUCUCACACGUAGUGACAAUAGCUAAAUAGGAGCUAAGUGCCAAAUAACUACUUGACGUGGCUCCUUCAGCUCAUCAGGUGUAUAAGCUCGGGGGCUGGACGCUGCAAAACUACUCAGAUGACGAUUGGCGUGAAGACUAAAGCUCGCUAGACCCUUGAAUUGGUUAUUUAAUCAUUUCAGGACUCGGGGGCUGAUAAGCUACACCCUGUCGGGGAUAGAUCCCCAGUACCCGCAAGCAAGGAAGAAGACAGACUCCUACUAGGAUUCCUAUAUAAUCCUACUAGGACUCAUACCAUGUACUCCUACUAGGAUUCUUUGUAACCGACUAGUAAUCCCACCACCUGGAGUAUAUAAAAGAGGGCAGGGGUCCCUAGAUCAGUAGGCCAAGACCUCAAAGGAAUACAACAGAGGAUCAAAUCCUCAAUACCAAACAACACCCAAGCGCAGGAUGCAAUAUACAAUACCCCAAACAUGAAGUAAGGUAUUACGCUACUCUGGCAGCCCAAACCUGUAUAAAUCUGUGUCUUGUGUCCUCGCUUUUACAAUCAAGUUCCAGGUCCGGCAAUCUUCCACCAACCAAUCUACUACCUCGGGAUACCUCUCGGUAGGUUGCCGGGUAUAAACACCGACAUCUGGCAUGCCAGGUAGGGGUGAUCGUCGAGAUCAUUGGGCAAGCUUGAAGGACCUCAUUAUCAAGAUCAAUCUACUCGGCACGGUAUGAUCAUUGUUACGUGCUGAGCAUUCUCAACUCAACAAUUUUUGAGUGCAAGUGCAAGACAAAGUUCAAGACCGAAUUGAUUUCCAGUGUUGCACUAGAUGAUCAUCUGAAGACGUGUUGAAUUAAUCACGCAGCCAGAUUGUUAUCACGGGAGCACAGGAGGACCAAGGCUCAUGGAUAAAUAUGGAGGCAGUCGGAUUCGACUUCAAGAUGAAAGUUCCCAUUUAUAUGGCUUGUACGAGCUUCUGGGCAAUCUGUGAUUAGGACAAGGAAACACCUGCUAUCGGAUUAGAAGGCGGAGGAAGACCACCAGCAUCAGAGUUCGAAGGUGAGUCGUAAUCAUCCGUCGAUCCCAUCUACGAAAAAAUACUACACUAUGCAGCUGUCGACAGGCGGAGGGACUCGUAAAUCUGUAAGGAAUCAGUGCUCGUAGCCUAAGAGGGGGAGGGGGUGAAUUAGGCAACUUAAAAAUUUAACCUAUGGCUUCCACUACUUUGCACAUAAGUAAACUAGAUCAUUCUAUCCUAGAAGUGCAUUCUAUGGUUGAUCCAAUGUAAAACCCUCAUCCUAAAAUAAGUUUUGCAAUCUAUAGCCAACCCUAUCAAGUUACUAUUCUAGGAAAGUAAAGGCACACAAGUUGCAAGUAUGAAAUGCGGAAACGUAAGAGGUUAGGAUGAGGGGAAGCAAACUAUUGACACAAUGAUUUAUCCCGUGGUAUCGGUAGGCACUAAGCAACCACUAGUCCAUGUUGUUGAAGCACUCAAACAAGAGUAAUGCUUCCCGCUCACCAAGUCUCUGCCAAAGUGCCCAUUGACUUGCCAAAAAGGCUCGGCCACUAAGACUCACACCAAGUCCCUCGGUCACCUUGAUACCAUCUCCACUAAGGAGCUUCUCCACGAAGGGAGGGGGUCUCCACGUCCCCUGCACAAGGUCAUCGACGCUGCUCCACACCAAGCUGGAGGGUUGAAGACUUUUCGGCGAGCCACCAAGGCUCCAAGGCACUGGCACACCUCUUGUACAACGGUAGUUCUCUCUAGAACCUGAUCACAAGGUUGGCACACCUUGCACUCACUCCUCUCUAGGCCUAUCCAACAUUGGAAACAUCUAGGAAAAUAGGCGUGAUUGGGUUCAAAAACCGGCCUGGCCGGUUUGAGUUCUAAAAUAGGCACUCGUUUCGGUGCUGUUAGUGUAGGUUUGAUUUGAAAUUUUCCAUCGGAUGCUUUGACGUAACAAUAAAAAUUACCAAGUGCAAUAUCAGCUAUCACAGUUUGUAACAUGAAAAAAUAAUAUGUAAAAAUGAUUACAUCCUUCGACUCUGGGAUAUAAAAUUCUCGCCACAACGUGAACACUAUGUUUCAUGCAACAUUCACUAUGAAACAUAUAGAAACAAUAGUUGCAACAUAUACGCUUAACUAUUGCAAUAUAUGUGGAGCCGUUCGAUUUUUUAAGAUUGCGAACGUAUACUUGAUUUCGAGUGAAGCUGGCGCCAAGUUUGCCCGCCGGCUCUCGAUUUCAUGAUCCGCCGCGGCCAAAUUCGUGCACAGGUACUCUAUUUUUAUUGGCGCUCGAUUUUGACUUUUGAGGUCCACUAGUGCCGUUCCGCUGACACCACCUUGCUAUCCUGCUCAGGCCGUCUUCUCUCCCUUCCUCUCUGGUCUCUCAGUCUCUCACUUGCAUAUGGGGUUUUGGUGAUCUAUCUGUCUCUCAUCGAUCAGUCGACCGAGGGGCCAUUAGAGUGAAAAUUUGACAUUAACAGCGACACAAGUUUUGACGGACGCAACGGCAAUGGCAGGCAUACAUAGAAGGAAAAUGAAGAAUUUGAAUGGCAGGUUCACUUAUAAGGAAAGCUAAUGUAGUACCUGAAUGACAUGAGGAAGCUGAGUGCAGUGAGGACCCAGAAUUCCUUGAGCAGGAGAUCGUCGAUGAAGCCUCCGAGGAGCACGACGGUGGACCACAGCAACGCCAGGAAUCCCAGAGCGCUUACAAUGUUCCCCGUGGCGGUCCGAAGCCUCACGUAGCGAUUGAUCAUCAGCACCUCCGGCCUUCCGACGUCCUCUUCCAUGGUUCCUUAAUUUUUGUCAAAACUCUGAAAGAAAUUAAACGAACGUUUGCAAUAAUGGAGGAGGCCGAUGUCUGGUUUGCCUUUGGCAAUGGGAUUUGCCAGCGUGUGGUCACUGCUCAUGCUGCCCGAGUAAUGGGUAGCUUGACCUCUCCAUUUCUGGGUCGCGUUAGUUCAGCAGAUGCUGUCACAACAUGCACAUGAAGAGGGAGCACAAGUGGUAAUAGCUUCCAACCAAAUUAAGUUUUGGAUGCAAUAAACAAAUACUCCAGCCGGCGGAUUGUUUCUAACAAAUCAUGUGAUUUAAUGGAAGUUUCCAACCGGUACACCUACAGACAUACGCAAGAAGGUGUUUUUUUUUCAAAUAUAAUAAAUAGAUAGACAAACUAGUAAUAACAAAUGCAACAGCCGGCGGAUUGUUUUUUAAUAGACACAACAAAAGACACAUACAGACAUACGCAAGACGGUUUUUUUCCCCCAAAUAUAAUAAACAGAUAGACAAACUAGUAAUAACAAAUACUCCUGUUGGGGGAAAUAUUAACGAUCCCCUAAAUACCGCUUAAAAAAGCAGACGCGAAGGUCCGGGCCCACCUAGCAUAAUCAAAACUCCACCUCGCCCGACCACGGUCCCAGGGUCGGGAGCGCCCGACCUCCCUCCACGAGGCUUCCGCCUCGUCCGACUGCGACCCCGGGGUCGGGGGUGCCCGACCCCUCGCCGCAAGGUUCCGCCCCGUCCGACCCCGAGCACAGGGGUCAGACUCGCUGGGGCCCCCAGGGCAGACAUCCCCCUCGGAUGCGGUCCAGGUGGACAAGAUAAACAAUCCCGUGGGUCCCCCCGUCGGCCUCGUCAUAAAUGCGCCGCAGGCUUGGCAGGGGGAAGGAUGACCGCGCUCCUCACGCAACCCGCUGCAAGUACCCAUGCACGACCAUACUGUACAAGCUACAGUGCUGGCGGCUCCCUCCCAUUCACCGCAGGGUACUCAUGGCCUGCGCCGACCGGAGCGGAGGAGAGACUCGCCUGUCCUCAGGCCCCGCGCGCCCUCGGGUCCCGCGCGCCCGGCAGCAAGGAUGUGACGCCCUCUCUCCAGGAGCCAUCAUCAGAACGGUAGCAUCCACCGUCCUCCCCAACGGACACCGGGAUGACGACGAAACGCCUUCAUCAUAACCCGACGCCUACGAAUGCCGAAGGAGCUAUCUGUAGGGCGCGACGACAGUUGGCACACGGCCGCCCCCCCUCCGGCAUGCACGCCGGCGCUCGUCAGGGGCCGGCGAAGGCGUCGGGCGUCUAGGAACUUGUUCCUCCCUUUCUGCCGUAUUUUUUACCGUACUACGUUUAUACUUUUACGGUCCUCUUCGCCCGAUCCCAGCUGUAACUCCGGCCACCCCCCUUACAAUAUAAAAGGAGGCACCAAGGGCCGGAGGAGGGGAUCAGCUUCUUCUCCCACAAGCCACAGCACACUAGUACGCUCCCUGAGAGCACAAGCACAAAGAGACUUGGGACCAGUCCCUCUCUCGUCGAUCUGUAACCCCUACUACAGAACUCUGCGUGGGCAAUACGAGCAUCCUCGACACUAGACGUAGGGCUUCCCUUGCCCGAACCAGUCUAAACCCGUGCCUCCCAUGCCACCACCUGAGGCCUUACUCGCAUAAAAGAAAUUUACUAGUCUAAGUCUUGAUUCGCCAAUCUUGACGACGACAGUUGGCGCGCUAGGUAGGGGACCUUUGCGCGUACAUUCCCAGCCUCAGAUGGCCAAAUACGAUAGUAGCUUUGCUCCGGGCUCCCUGAUCCGAUUCGGGAGCUGGGACUUCCUCGCCACCGGGGAAGGGAUCGAGCUGCUCCCUGUCCUCGUCCUGCCUGCUCGCCCAGCUGCCCCCGGCCCCGCCGCCGGGACAGCGGCGAGCGGCCGGUCGCGUACCGGAAGAACCUCGCCAGGGGGAUAGCCCUUCGGGCUAUGCAACGCCACGGGGGCUUACGGACACCUCCUAGCGCAGUCCAUGACCGCGUCGCCCGCGAGCAAUGAGCUCGUAGGCGCGACAAGGACGAUCUCCGACACCAGCUCCAGCAGCGGGAGCCCCACCCCUCGCGUGAGUGCCUCGUGGCCGACGCGCACUCCGAGGGAUCCAACGGCAACAAUGCCGAGGGGAGACAAAGGGCUCCCCCCUCGCGCGCCGCGGCUACGACCGGAGCCUUACCAAGGGUGCCGGAGUGCUGUCAGCAACCAGAGGCGCGCGCAGGCGCCCGCCAAGAAGUUGAGCACCCCCACCACGAGGGUGGAGCAUGACAACGGGCGCGCGACGUCUAGCAACGCAUCUGCGCGGACGAAGAGCAUCCGCAGCUCUUCGCCCACGCCAGCCAAAACGUCGUAGCCGCGGCGGUGUUGCUCCGACAGCUCCCCGAACCAGCGACGCCCGAGGAGCGACGGGCAUGCCAAGAGAUGAGCAACCUGCUCGAAUGCGCCGCCGUCCAGCAGGCGGAAAGUUCCGCGUCCAGGCGACGCGGGCAGAACGCCAGCAGGGCGACGCCCGACACGCCCCCGGAAAGGCGGGGGGAGUCUGUCCAUCAACCUCCUCCUAGGUCAAAUCAGGCCGCGUCCGCCCGACGGACUCCACCACCCGCGGGAGGUGAGGCUCGAUCCGUCCACCAGCGCGUCGGGCUCGUCCGCGACGCCCGCGACACCCUGAGCGCGCGGAGACGCUCCUGCAUGGACAGGGAGGACGGGGUAGAUUGAGGCUACCACGUCCACCGUGGCAGGCGCUACGAUAGCGGGGAAGACCGCAGCCCGAGCCCCGGUCCGGCUGGGCCCCGGGCCUUCUCUGCGCGCAUCCUGAACGCGCCUUUCCCGCCGCGCUUCAGGCAACCCACAAGUAUAGCCAAAUACUCUGGGGAGACGAAUCCUGGGGUAUGGCUCAGCGAUUACAGGCUUGCAUGUCAAGCCGGCGGGGCGGAUGAUGACCUGUUUAUCAUCCGCAACCUACCCCUCUUCCUAGGCGACUCAACGCGAGCUUGGCUAGAACAUAUCCUUUCGGGACGAAUCCGCAGCUGGAACGACCUGAAGGAGGUUUUCAUAGGGAACUUCCAAGGCACAUACACACGCCCCGGCAAUUCCUGGGACCUCCGGAGCUGUUGCUAGGGGGCGGACGAGUCUCUCCGGGAUUAUAUCCGAUGCUUCUCCAGGAAGCGCACCGAGCUCUCCAACGUCGCAGACGCCGACAUCAUAGGGGCUUUCCUAGCGGGAACCUCCUGCCGGCCCCUCGUCCACGAGCUGGGGUGCCGAGGCCCGCGAACCACGGAGGAGCUCCUCAAUAUCGCCACUAGCUACGCCUCGGGCGAAGAGGCUGCUGGAGCGAUCUUUGACCGCUCCAAAGGCAAGGCGAAAUGGGAGGAGGAGGCUGACGAAGGCACCUCCAACCGCCAGCAGAAGAAGAAGGGCAAACAGCGGCGCGAGGCCCCCCUCGUGGCCGCAGUCAAGCGCAAGCGAGGGCAGCCACCCCCCGAGGGUACUCCCGGCUUCUUUGACAAGUUGCUUGAGGGACCGUGCCCGAACCACGAGUUCCCCGUGAAGUAUGCCUACAAAGACUGCAACCUCAUGAAGAGAUACUUCGUGAGCAAUCCGGUGAAAGGCGACCGGAAGCGGAAGCCCGAUGAGGAAAAGAAAGGCAACGAAGAGAAGGAAGACGGCUUCCCCAAGGUGGACGGCUGCUUCAUGAUCUUCGGCGGCUCCGCGGCGUACGACACCAAGCGCCAGCAGAAGCUGGAGCGCCGGGAGGUCUACGUGGCCGAGCCAGCGACUCCGGCCUUCCUGGACUGGUCGGGGCCGGCCAUCACCUUCGACAGGUCCGACCACCCUGGAUGCGUCCGGCAUCCGGGGCGUUACCCUCUCAUCGUCAACCCCAUCAUCGACACGACGUGCCUCACCAAGGUGCUCAUGGAUGGGGGCAGCGGCCUCAACAUCCUCUACGCCGAGACCCUCGACGCUAUGGGGAUCGACCGUUCCCGCCUCCGUCCCAGCAGGGUGCCCUUCCAUGGCGUCGUGCCAGGGAAGCAGGCAAUGCCCCUCGGGCAAAUCGACCUGCCCGUUACGUUCGGGACCCCUUCCAACUAUAGGAAGGAGGUCCUCACCUUCGAGGUGGUGGGGUUCUGCGGAACCUACCACGCCAUCUUGGGACGGCCAUGCUACGCAAAGUUCAUGGCUAUCCCCAACUACACCUACCUCAAGCUCAAGCUGCCAGGGCCCAACGGGGUCAUCACCGUCGGCACGACCUUUCAGAAGGCGUAAGAGUGCGACGUAGAGUGCUGCGAGUACGCCGCGGCCAUCACCGUCACAAGCGACCUGGCGGCCCAGCUUGCGGAGGCCACCGAGGACCGGCCCGACUCCAAGCAGCCGAACAUCUCCUUCGAGCUCGCUGAAGGCAUCAAGGAGGUCCCCCUCGAUCCCAGCUGUUCCAACGGAGGAGUCAUGCGGAUCAGCGCGGCCUUAUCCCCCAAAUAGGAAAGCGCGCUCGUCGACUUCCUCCGCGCGAACAGCGAUGUCUUCGCGUGGAAGCCCUUGGACAUGCCCGGCAUUCCGAGAGAAGUCGCCGAGCACUCCUGGAACAUCAAGGCCGGCUCCAAGCCAGUGAAGCAAGGAUUGCACCAUUUCGACGAGGAAAGGCGCAAGGCCAUCGGCGAAGAGCUCCAGAAGCUUCUGAUGGCCGGGUUCAUCAAGGAAGUGCACCACCCCGAGUGGCUGGCUAAUCCUGUCCUUGUAGCAAAAAAGAACGGGAAAUGGAGGAUGUGUGUCGAUUAUACCGGUCUCAACAAAGCGUGUCCAAAGGAUCCGUUUCCUUUUCCACGCAUAGAUCAAAUAGUCGACUCAACCACCGGGUGCGAGACCCUCAGCUUCCUCGACGCAUAUUCCGGCUACCAUCAGAUCGUGAUGAAAGAAGCUGACCAGCUCGCUACCUCCUUCAUCACCCCCUUUGGCCCCUACUGCUACAUUAAGAUGCCAUUCGGCCUCAAAAACGCGGGGGCUACUUUCCAGCAAUGCAUGCUGAAGUGCUUCGGAGACCUCAUCGGGUGGACCGUUGAGGCCUACGUUGAUGACAUCGUAGUUAAAUCCAGGAGGGGCGACCAGCUCGUUCCCGACCUUGAACUAGCCUUCGAAAGGCUGAGGGAUAAGCGCAUUAAGCUCAAUCCUGAAAAAUGUGUGUUCGGAGUCCCAAGGGGCAUGCUAUUAGGCUUCAUCGUCUCCGUACGCGGCAUUGAAGCAAACCCGGAGAAGAUAGCGGCCAUCAGCGACAUGGGGCCAAUCCGGAACAUAAAGGCAGUUCAGCGCGUCAUGGGAUGCUUGGCGGCUCUAAGCCGCUUCAUCUCGUGCCUCGGUGAGCGAGGGCUUCCUCUCUAUCGGCUCCUGAAGAAGAGUGACCGCUUCGAAUGGACCGGCGAGGCCCAGGAGGCACUUGACUGACUCAAGGACCUCCUGACGAAGGCCCCGAUCCUAGUCCCGCCUACCGACGGCGAGUCCCUUCUGCUCUACAUCGCGGCGACCACCCAGGUGGUUAGCGCAACCCUGGUGGUGGAAUGAGAAGAGGAGGGACACGCUCUCAAGGUGCAACGCUCGGUGUAUUUCAUCAGCGAAGUCUUGUCCGAAUCCAAGACACGUUACCCGCAGAUCCAGAAGCUCAUCUACGCCAUCCUUAUCACGAAGAGGAAGCUGCGCCACUACUUCACCUCCCACCCGGUAACAGUCAUUUCAUCAUUCCCGUUAGGCGAAGUAAUCCGGAACCCAAACGCUACAAGGAGGAUCGCGAAGUGGGCGCUUGAGCUCAUGGACUAGGGUAUCACCUACGUCCCCCGCACCGCCAUCAAGUCCCAGGCACUCGCCAACUUCGUGGCAGAGUGGACGGAGAUUCAAACACCAUCGGCACCAGAGAAGCAAGAGUAUUGGACAAUGUACUUCGACGGGCCACUGAUGAGGGCCCGCGCCGGAGCGGGUCUCGUCUUCAUCUCUCCCUCGGGCGUGCGCAUCAGGUACAUGAUCUGCCUCCAUUUUCCUGCAUCCAAUAAUGUCGCCGAGUACGAAGCCCUCCUCAACGGACUCCGCAUCGCCAUCGAGCUGGGUAUCCGUCGGCUGGACAUCCGGGGCGAUUCCCAGUUAGUCGUCGAACAAGUCAUGAAGGAGUGGAGCUGCCACGACCUCAAAAUGGCAGCCUACUGCAACGAGGUCUGUAAGCUCGAAGAUAAGUUCGACGGGCUAGAGCUCAACCACGUCGCAAGGCGCUUUAACGAGGCCGCCGACGAGCUGGCGAAGGCAGCGUCCGGCCGAAUGCCCGUCCCCGACGGUGUCUUCGUUAGCGACCAGUUGAAGCCUUCAAUCCGUUACCCAGAACUGACAGGGGUCGGCGAAGCACUCCCAGCCCUGGGAUCAGGACCCGAGUCAGGGGAGGUCGGCAGCGCGCCACCUGUCCCAGACCCGAGCACCAGUCCCGAGGGGGUUGACACCGCUUUGCCCGACUCGGCCCCGGGAGCCGAUUCGUCCGACCCCGUGGUCAUGGAAAUCACGGCAGACCCCGCGGUAGGGGCCGACCCCCCAAUCGACUGGAGAGCCCCAUACCUCGACUACCUCGUCCGCGACACGCUCCCGGCAGACAAAAUGGAGGCCCGUAGGAUCGCGCGCCGCGCCAAAUCCUUCGCCAUCAUCGACCGGGAGCUCUACAAGAAAAGCCACACUGGGAUCCUCCAGCGCUGCAUCCCGAUCGAACAGGGAAAGGUGCUGAUCCAGGAUAUCCACGCCGGAGCUUGUGGUCACCACGCCGCGCCGAGGACCCUCGUUGGCAACGCCUUCCGACAAGGUUUUUACUGGCCGACCGCGGUCGCUGACGCUACCCAGGUAGUCCGCACCGGUGAAGGGUGCCAGUUCUUUGCCCGCCAGACUCACCUGCCCGCGCAGGCGUUGCAGACCAUCCCCAUCAUGUGGCCGUUCGUGGUCUGGGGGCUGGAUCUCGUCGGACCCUUCAAGAAGGCGCCCGGGGGCUUCACCCACCUGCUUGUCGCUGUCGACAAGUUCUCCAAAUGGAUCGAGGCAAGACCGGUGGCGCAAAUCAGGUCCGAGCAGGCGGUACAGUUCUUCACUGACAUCAUCCACCGCUUCGGGAUCCCAAAUUUCAUCAUCACCGACAACGGUACGCAGUUCACUGGGAAGAGAUUCCUCCAGUUCUGCGACGACCACCACAUCCGAGUGGAUUGGGCGGCCGUGGCGCACCCCCGCACGAACGGGCAAGUCGAGCGAGCCAAUGGCAUGAUACUCCAGGGUCUCAAGCCACGGAUCUUCGACCGCCUUAAGAAGUUCGGCGGACGGUGGGUUGCGGAGCUUCCCGCAGUCCUUUGGAGCCUGAGGAUGACCCCCAGCCGGGCGACGGGCUUCACCCCAUUCUUCAUGAUCUACGGGUCAGAGGCCAUUUUGCCCACCGAUCUAGAGUACGGAUCGCCGAGGGUCAAGGCAUACGACGAACAGGGAAACCAGGCAUCACUCGAAGACGCACAAGAUGAACUCGAUGAGGCGCGAGACGUAGCCCUACUACACUCGGCUAAGUACCAGCAGGCCCUACGGCGUUACCACAGGCACAAGUUGACUCCCCCAUGGGAAGGCCCGUUCAUCGUCGUGCAAGUACUACGGCCAGGCACCUACAAGCUGGCGACUCCCGACGGGCAGGUCUUCAGCAACGCCUGGAACAUAGAACAGCUAAGGCGCUUUUACCCAUAGCUCUUAUUUCCAAGUUCUGCACAAACUUGUCUUCAAUUCCGAUAAUCCCGUUAAGCUCAGGGGUAUCCGACCCUGGCCUCGUUCUAGGGCCGCAUACCCCUCGGGGGCUACCAGUUUUGUUCUUCUACAAAAAAAAAGAAACCCCAAGCCGUCUCGGUUCAGGCUUUUCCUGGUAAGCUCAGGGGUAUCCGACCCUGGCCUCGUUCCAGGGCCGCAUACCCCUCGGGGGCUAUCAGGGGUUCCGACCCCAGCCACUUGGCACCAUCUAAAAGAAACGUUUUUCUUUUCAAACCAAACACUCCCUUUCUAGACUUUUGGACGCAAAAAGAGAAGAAUGCGCGAACGGUGCUCAGGCAAGAUUGAUCGGACUGCGAAAAAACCUACGCCCCAGCGGCUACGGCACCUUCGCUCAUCAAAGCUUACUGACGCACCCGACAACGUAUUCUAAACUUUCAAGCCCAAAGGAACAGUAAAGGGGAUCUGAAACUUUCGCACGGCAAAAGUUAUAAACAGGCCCGUAUGGCCAUCAUGAAACAAGUUCGAAACUGACAUAAUUACAAUUUGGGCGCAAGCCCGGUACAGUUAACUUGACGGGGGGUCGGCAGGAGGGACGGCCUCAUCUUCCAGGAGCUUCGCGAGGGCCUCCGCCGGUGCGAACACCGCUGCAUCAAUCUCGUCCAGCUCGGCUUUGGAGUAAUCGGCGGCGUACCCGUCGCUCAUCCCGGCAAAGUUGAUGCCAGAAUAAUGGGAGCCGAAGACCCCGAAGGCUCGCCGCACGCCGACGUGAAGCGCGUCCACGGCGAUCUCGCGACGCCGACGGUGUACCCCGAGGACACGAGCCGGCAGAGAGCUCGACCCCUCCUCCGGAACCACGCCAAAGUCAUCGCAGACGACGCGGACCGCAUCCUACAGGGUGCUGAGCUCACUACGCUCUGCGUCGAGCAAGCCCUUUAGCUUGGCGAUUUCGCCUGUAGGAAUCAUCCGGAAAAGCUCACCGAGUUAAGAACAAACCGCAACAACACGAGAACGCGGGAACGGAAAGGAGACUCACCGUCAGCCCAGGCCUUCAGCUCGCGCUCCCGGUCGGCUCCUCGAGACACGGCGGUCUGGAGUCCCUGCUCGGCCUCCUCUUUCUUGGCGCUCUGCGUCCUAGUCUUGCAAAGCUUGGUGCCGCUCGCGCCGGACGCGCUCAACGGUCUUCUGGAGGGCUUCAUACUCCCCCCUCAGUCGGGCAAGCUCCUCAACGUCGUGGCGGGCCUUCUCAGCGGCAGCCUUGAACUCCUCAUGGUCGAGGCGGGUCUUUGUCGAUGACGGCUUGGAGCUUGGCCUCCGAUCACCGUGCCUCCUCCAGCGCCGCCCCCUCACACCUUUGCAGGUCGCGGAUGACCCCCUGGGCAGCAGUGACCUGCAGGGACAGCUCCCUGGUGUGCUCCCUCUCCGCGUUGAAGCGGUCCCAAAGCCCCCGCUCCAGCCGGAGGAAAUCGGAUUUCCCCCGACUGCACUCUUGGAGGGCCUGCAAAGCAACGUGCCAUCAGGGAUAAAGCAAUGAGAGAUGCUGAUCACCAACAGUAGGGGCAACAUACCUGGUUGCCAGGGAGAACGGUGUUGCCCAGAACCCCCAACGCCAAGGACAGAGCCGCGUGGGCGUGGGCAAGGCCACCCUGCACCGCCUGCCACUUGUGCCACUCCGUGGCGUCGUCCAGCGUGAAGAGAUGCCUCGGUGGGUCCUCGCAGGAUGACCAGCGAAGGACGGACCCUCUCCACGCCUUGGGAACGGUGGGAGCCGAGGCCGAGGUAGGAGCCAAUCCUGACGCUGCCGUCAAGGUCAGCACCAUCGCACUAGAAGCCGCCGGGUUCACCGACGGCCCCGGUACCUACACACUCGUCGCCGCCGAGGCCGCCGUAGGGUCGCCCCAUGGCGGCGCCGCCUCCAGCGCAAGCGGCGGUAUCCCCGCGGCUACCUCGCCCCCCACCGCAACCACCUAUGGAGGCUCCUCCGUUCCUGCCGGAGUCCCCCCAGCGGGCCCCUCCGCCUCCGUCGCCGGAGCCACUUCCGCGAGGGUAAUCGGGGUGGAGCUCCCCGCCUCCGUCACCGUUGCCUCCGCCGCCACGCUUUCGUGGGCAGGCACUCCCUCCGCCGCCGAUCCCGCCACGGCUGCGGGGGCAUCCGCCCCACCUCCCGUCGCCGCCGUCUCUUCCGCCUCGUCGGCGUCAAGGUCGAUCACCUCCCCAGCCUGAGAACCUGGGGGGAUCGUGCCCUGCGCUGUAGGGGCGACUGGGGGAACCGAAGGUGGAGUGGGGUCCGCUCCCCCUCCUGCGACCGAUGCCGCCGUCGCUCCGCCAGCCGCCAUCACAGGGGCCGCCUCCGCGGAGGGGUCCGCAGCCUCACUAGGGACCCCACCGCUCGCCGCGGGCGGGACCGCGGUCCGCCCCCCGGAGGAGGACGACAACCGCAACGCCUUCUUAGGCGCCAGCUGCAGGGCAAGACCACGAGGAGUGGCGCUGCACAUCGACGAACAAACGUCAGCACCUCGGCGCAAGGGGAGAGGAACGAGAUGCAAGGGAGGCCAACUUACAUUCUUGAAGCACAAGGACGGCGCGCGCGCUUCGCCUCGGAGCCUGACACCGAUCCCGGGACAUCCGGCAGCGGCCGCUUGUCGCCGCUUUGCUGCCCUCCAGUCGCGGGUGCGGCGGUGGAGGCGGUCUCCGCGGACCCCCGAGGAACGCCCUGGGCAGACUCCUGGGGGGCGCCCCGCGCCGGCUCCAAAGCGGCGGCGGGGGCAGGCUCCGAAGACCCUCGAGGGGUGCUCCGCACCGGCUCCGGGAAGGAGCCCCGUGUCGACCCCUGGGGGGCACCCCUCGUCGACCCUUGGGGAGCAUCCCACGCCCGCUCCUGGGAGACGCCCCGCGCCGGCCCCUGGGGGGCGUCCCGCGUCGACUCCUUGGGGGCACCCCACGCCGGAUCCAAAGCGGUGGCGGGGGCAGGCUCCGAAGACCCCCGAAGGGCGCUACGCGCCGGCUCCGGGAAGGAGCCCCGUGUCGACCCCUGGGGGGCACCCCUCGCCGACCCCUGGGAAGCGUCCCGUGCUCGCUCCUAGGAGACGCCUCGCGCCGGCCCCUGGGGGGCGUCCCGCGUCGUCUCCUGGCGGGCGCUCUGUACUGGCCCCUGGGGCGCAGCCCCAGGGCCUUGCGGAGCCAAGGCCCGGGCACAUGCCUCCUCCGCUUCACCCCCCGCGGCCGUCCGCGGGCAUGCCUCCCGAAUUGCGAGUGCGCCUGAUCGGAAGGAGGAAAUCAGUUCCUCCUCCUCAUCAUCUUCCUCAUCUUCAUCCUGGGAAAUGCCCCUUUGCCGAGUGUUAAAGCCAAAACACUCAGCAAAGGCCCCUCUUUGCCGAGUGUUACACUCGGCAAAGUGACCAGAACCCCCCCUUUUUCGACAUUUUGCCACGUAUAACGGACCCCUCUCAAUUCACAAUACACAUAUCACAGGCAUUUGUAAUAAACAACCACAUGCAUAAUUCACAACCACAGGCAUAAUUCAACAUAAGCACGAAAUAAUCCAUAAAUCCAAGUUCUUGUCACAAUUUAGUUUCCACAUUGUUCACAACCAAGUCUACUUCCGUGGAGGCCAAGGAGACCACUGCGACAAAUCUUGAUCUUCAUUAUUCGAAGCCGCCGAUUGAUUCUGCACAUAGGAUAGGACAUUCUGAGCUAACAUCUAAAGUUGUCAAAUUUAAAGUAUUAAAUCUUAAGCACAAUGUGUCAAGUGACUCACAGGAGUAGUCGUGGGUGGCUGAGGCGGAGGGAACAUCAUCGGCGGUGGCGGAGGCAAAGACUGUCCCAUGCUCGAAGCAAAGUUCUGCAUGUACUGGAACAUCUGCUCCAUCUGAAAUACAUGUAUCGAUUCAUCUCAAAAUCUUACCGGAUCCUUCCAACUUCUACGAAUCCUCUCCGGAGAUGCUUCGAAUUCUAAACAUCAUAUGUCAAAACUUGUGCGAAACCUUGUCAAUUUUUUACCACAGCCUCUGCAUAUGAAAUCAUAGCAUCUUGCAAAAUCUCGUGAUUUUCAAACUUUGUUUGUAUUUUUGAGAAUUAAACAAUCAUUUGGCCACACGUUCGUAGUCGUGUUUCCUUAGCAAAAUGUUCGAAAUUUCUUUUCAUUUUCUGGGUGAGACCUCAAUUUGGACUCACUAACAUGAAUAUGAUUUUUCCACUCAUAUUAUUCCAUUAUUCCAAUCACCUGCAAUUCAAAUUUGACUUAAAUCAAAAAAAUACUCUAAAUGAAAUUAAUUGAUUAAAUAUAGCAAACAGGUCAAAAAAUAGUCCACCUUCUACCAUGCAGUGCCAAAUGCCAUACAUGUGGAGUGUAAAAAGUUUGGAGGGUGGAGGAGGGAAAAAAAAUUACUUUUGCCGAGUGUGUCGAAAAACACUCGGCAAACCCUAAAGUAUGCCGAGUGUUCCCCCUAGCACUCGGCAUACUCGCCACUUUGCCGAGUGUCCCAUGACGAAACUCGGCAAAGUAGUAGGUUUGCUGAGUGUCCCAUGACGACACUCGGCAAAGUAGUAGGUUUGCCGAGUGUUCCAUCACGACACUCGGCAAACUAGUGGCUUUGCCAAUUGCCCCCCGUCGACACUCGGCAAAGCCUAACGUCCGUCACGGCGCCGGCCCGUCGCGGCACGGGGAAGUCACGUGCUCAUCACUUUGCCGAGUGCUCCAUCUUUGCCGAGUGCCCCGUGGGUGUUUGCCGAGUGUUUUUUUGGUGGCACUCGGCAAAUAGGCUCUUUGCCGAGUGUAUUAUGUUUGUCGAGUGUUUUGAGUAUUGCACUCGGCAAACCGGUCCUUCGCCGAGUGCCUGCAAUAAUACACUCGGCGAAGUAAUUACACUCGGCAAAUUUGAGGUUUCCCGUAGUGUUUAGCAUGUCAUCAUAGAAAUAUUGUAACAUGAAGCUUCUCAUUAUUAGAACACCGAACAUGUAAGGAACUGUAUUAUCCUAUGCUUAACGAGGGACAUCCACCUACCAUGGAUGUACAUCUUCAAAAGAUUAUGGUAAAAAGAACACCAAACAAUGAGACGUACAUUUGAUGGUUAAGAACUCUGGCAUGGGUUGACGCAUGGGAGACUUGCAUCCUGCAUGGGUUUUGUUUGUUGUUGGGCUUAGAACGAAUGAAGGAGACCUUGCAUUGGAGUUUGGAGGUGGUUGACCCGCGCCCAUUGGUGGUGAUGGACGGUGGCCAGGGCGUGGGUAGCCACGGGUGGUCGUGGUGUGGAGCUAUCAUCCAAGAGGUAGCAGCGCUGGCUUCAAAUUAAGAAGGUGAAGAGGACUCGAACCUUUUGAUCAGGGAAUGAAACUGUGCUGUAGGUGGGGAUGCUUAUGACAUGCUGCCUCCUGGACCAUGAGGUUUUCGACGACGAAAUGCGUCAAAGGUGAGUAUAGUUUGUACAGAAAUCCUCAAUUUCUUUGCCCCAGCAGAUCGAUUCAUCAAAUGCAAAGCUGUUCAAUGAUGGACGUAUUUUUCUUGCUGAAUAUACUGUACAUCACUACUUAGACAGCACACGAUUAUAUUGUCAACGAGAAUUGGAAAUCUUAGUUCUGAAACAAGAGUAAAAACACACGUUUAUUCUCUCACACUCACACAAAUAGGCCCAGAAGACGAUUUAUAGAUAAAGUACGUCCUUGAUACAAACACGUGCAUAUCGAUAGUAUACUUGACGAUGUCCCCUUGAUCAGGCAGAGAUCAAUCAGUUACCCUUUUCCUAUGCUGUCUCUAGGAGCUCCUGUGUUUCCUUAACAAGAGAAGGGAGAAACCUGGCAGGCCUGAUCACCUCACGAUCAUUCCCAGCGAAGAGCAUGCAGUCAUCAACCUCAGACAUGGUUUCCAAUGUUAGAAAAUAACAUCACUGAUUCUUAGGAUCUGAUAGCCUCGGCCAGUGUUUCCUCGAAAUUAUGUUCAUUGAAACGUUGGAUGCAGCUGGGCUGGGCUUUAAUCAUAGUUACCACCACGUGGCAUGUAAACUUCACUACUUCCCAACACUCAGCCGUGCAGUGCUUGUUUACUUUUAGUAUCUCCUUGAGCUUCUUCACCAGUGUUUCAUCUCCACGGGUGGCACGAGCAAAAUCUUCUCUACUCAUAGCAUUUUUGGUGCACAUCACCACGGCGAUGGAUAAGAUGGCUGCCAUUGAUUUUAUUUCCUCGAAUUGCUUCUCGAUUCCAUGAAUAAGAAUACGUAAAAGGGAAGCAACAAACACAAUUACUUCCAUUUUACUAGGUAAUAUCUUACCGAGCGCCUGCGAAAACAUAAUUUAACAAAAAGGACCAGCAAUGUCAUAACCAUAUCAUACAUGAUACAGAUUCAUGCAUGCAGCUCAUCCCUGGUCUAAGAAUGAUGUUGUUUUAUCUGUACAUAAACUAUUUGAAAGAACUCAACUAAUUAUAUUGAACAAAUUAAGAUGCCCCCUUGGAAUUUAGUUUGUAUAUCUAUCUAAUGCAAGUACUAAUUAGCAAAUACAAUUAUUAAAUAUAUUAUGAAAUGAUAUAUAAUUUGGAUCAGAAGGGAUACUAAUGUUGACCCACUAAAUUCAUUUGAACUCUUGGGGAAAAUAUUCUACACUACAGAAGUAAGCUAAUUUACUGACAUUUGAGAGAAUGGGAAUAAGUUCAAAAGCGAGUUACCUCGGUCGACCAGGUUUCAAUUUUUGUUAAAGCCCUUUUGGCUGCAUCUGCAUUUGUUCCCAUUUUACUAGAUAGUAUUUGGUCAUGCUCCUACAACAUGAUUUAACACAAGGGAUCAGCAGUGUUAUAAUCAUAUUUUACAUGAUACAGAAUGAUGCAACUCAUCUCUAGUAGAAGGAUUAUGUCAUGUUAUAUGUACAUAGGUUAUUGACAGGAGUUAAUGAAUUACUCAAACACAAGUUAAGUUGGCCCCAUGUGGUUUCAUAUGUAUAUCUAUCUAAUGCAAGUACCCAUUAGCAGCUUGGAUGAAUAUAAAUGACAAAACUGCCUAGCAAAUAAUAAUAUCACAAUUAUAAACUAUCUUACAAAAAUGACAUAAUGGCCACUCUGCACGCUCUACACAGCAUGGCAGCCGAAACUUUGAACUGCUCAACAAGGCUAACAUAGUCCUCGUCCCCAAGAAAACAGGCGCAGAUAAUGUGACAGAUUAUAGGCCAAUUAGCCUAAUACACAGCAUUGCAAAGCUCUUCACUAAGAUAUUAGCCUUGCAGCUGGCCCCAGCUAUGACAAACAUCAUCUCCAAUCACAGAGUGCUUUCAUCAAAGGGCGCAGCAUCCAUGAUAACUUCAUGUAUGUGCGCGGAAUGGCUAGAUGCUUUCACCGUAACAAAGUCCCUAUGCUUCUUGUGAAACUCGACAUUGCCAAGGCCUUCGAUUCCGUCCGUUGGGACUAUCUACUAUCGCUACUGGAGCACUUGGGAUUCCCACCAAGGUGGAGGGAAUGAAUUACUGCAAUAUGCGCCACUUCCUCGUCACAGGUCCUACUAAACGGCAUUCCUGGAGCACCAUUCUCACAUGCACGAGGUCUCCGGCAAGGGGACCCACUCUCCCCUCUGCUCUUCAUACUUGCUAUUGAUCCGUUACAACGACUGCUGCAGCUAGCCACGGAGAACAAAUUGCUGACCAAGAUUGGCCGAAACCACCACCGACUGCGGACAUCCUUAUAUGCUGAUGAUGUUGUCCUCUUCAUCCGGCUUGUCAAAGGGGAGAUGGCAAACCUCUCAAAGCUACUCGACCUAUUUGGCAAAGUGACUGGCUUGAACUCCAAUCUCCAAAAAUCAACGGUUGUGCCAAUCAACUGUGACAACCUUGACCUGGAUGAUAUCCUGCAAGACUUCAAUGCGCGAAGAGGAAGUUUCCCGAUAAAGGACCUGGGCAUUCCAUUGACAGUAAGGCGUCUACAGAAUGUCGACUAUCGGCCUUUGAUUGACAAGGCGGCUUCCAGACUAUCAGGCUGGUGGGGUUGAAACUUGACACAUACAGGGCGGCUAACACUAACAAAUUCUGUGCUCUCCUCACAGUCGAUCUACCUCCUCACCGUGCUCAAUGCUCCCAAAGAGGUGAUUGAGGAGCUCGAUCGAAUCCGUAAGUGCUUCUUCUAGGAUAGGGAUCAGGCUCUGACUGGCGGAAAGUGUAAGGUGAAUUGGCCAACGGUUGGCCGACCACUGGAACUAGGCGGAUUAGGAAUCCUUGAUUUCCACCACUUCGCAAGAGCACUUAGACUGCGUUGGCUAUGGCAGGAGAAAGCGGACCCAGACAAAGCUUGGGUGGGGAUUCCCAUCACAUGCUCAGACAAGGAUAAGCUAUUGUUUGCUGCUUGCACAACUAUUCAAUUGGGGGACGGCGCACGCACAUCCUUCUAGCACUCUGCUUGGGCACAAGGAAGACGGCCUAAGAACAUUGCACCUAAGAUUUUUGCUGCUUCCAGGAAAAAGAAUAGGAUGCUAAAAGAAGCCAUAUGACACCACAAUUGGGUGAAGGGCCUGAAUGUGCUUGAGUGCUUAACAGUGGGCCACCUCGAGGAAUUUUUGGAGAUAUGGACUCUUGCUCAAGAAGUUCAUUUGCAGCAAGACACAGAUGAUCAGGUAGCAUGGAAGUUGUCUCCCUCGGGCCUUUAUUCGACAGCAUCGGCUUACCAUGCUCAAUUUAUGGGAUAGACAUCCUGCAAUCUCCGACAACUGAUCUAGAAACCGUGGGCGCCGCCGAGGUGUAAAUUGUUUGCAUGGCUAAUAAUUCGCAACAGAGUAUGGAUGACAGAUCGACUAGCUACGCAAAACUUGCCAAGAAAUCCAGUCUGCCCUUUAUGUAGGAGUCGGCCUAAGACAGCCCACCACAUCCUCGUUGACUGCCGGUAUUCCAGACAAAUUUGGUUCAUGGUGGCCUCCUUGAUCUCCUAUAAUCAAGUCAACCCGGACCAGUGGGCACACACGUCAACUGUCAAGGAGUGGUGGACACGCAUGGGCGCCAUGCCGGGAGUUCCUCGUAAAGGACUGCGGUCCCUCCUCUUGCUCGUCUGCUAGCAGCUGUGGCUCGAAAGAAACGCUAGAACGUUCCAAAGAACCGAGCGUCCUGCCCAUGCUUUGCUAUCACAAAUUAGGGACACCUGUGAGAGUGCCGGCGUGAAACACCUGGCAGCCUUACUUGAGGGGGCAUAGCCUUAUACGGUAUACAUAGUACAUGUGGGCGCUUUGCUGGCGCCGAGUUUUCCUUUUUCCCUGUUUUUUAAAAACCUGUAAAUCUCUUCUAUAUUAAUAGAAAUGGCACAAUCAGUACCGUUCGUUCAAAAAAACAAAAAUGACAUAUAGUUUAGGUCCAAAUGGAGACUAAUUUUGAUACACUAAAUGUGUUCAAACAGUUAAGGAAAAUAUUUCUACACUAUAGAGGUAUAAGAGAAUUGAUUGACAUCUAAGAAAUUGGAAAUGAGAUCAAAAGUGAUUCAGAGGCAGAGAUAGCGAGUUAAUAAUUACCUUGGUCACUAGGUUUUUCGUUUCUCUAGCAGCCCUUAUGGCUGCAUCUGUAAAAUUUCCCAUUUUACUAGAUAAUAUAUUUGUCGAGCACCUGUAACAAACAUAAUUUAACACAACGGAUCAGCAAUCUUAUAAUCAUAUUAUGCAUGAUACAAAUCAACGCAAGUCAUCUCUAGUAGAGGAAAUAUGUUGUUUUAUCUAUGCAUAAUUUAUGGAAAGGAGUUAACUCAUGUCUAGUCGAAGAAGAAUGUCCUUUUAUUUGUAUGUAAAUUAUUGAAAUGAGUUGGUAAAUUGCUUGAAUAAAUUAAGAUGGUCCCGUGUUAUUUUUUAUGCAAGUAGCAGCUAAGAUGGAUAUUGAUGACAAAAUUGCCCAGAAAAAGUAAUAAUACUGCGAUUAUAAAUUAUAUUACUACAAUGACAUAUACUUUGGAUUGGAAAGGAUACUAAUGUUGGCCCACUAAAUAUGUUUCAUUGUUUGAGGAAAAUGAUUCUAAACUACAAAAUAAGAGAAAUUCGGUGCUGACAGAUGAGACAAUGGGGACAAGAUCAAAAGCCAUGCUGAGGCAGCAAGUUAACCCAAUCACUUGUUUUUUCUUUUGUAUAACAACCCUUUUGACCGCAUCUUCAGUUUUUCCCGUUUUACUAGAUAAUAUUUGAUCAAACACCUGCCACAACAUAAUUUAACACAAGGGAUCAACAAUCUUAUAAUGGUAUUAUACGUGAUACAUGUUAAGUUAUUGAAAGGAGUUAAUGACUUACUUGAGGAAAAAAAAUUAAGAUGCCCUCUUGUAAUUUCUGACGUUCAUCUAUCUAAUGCAAGUUCCAAAUGCUCCCCCUAUUUCAACAUGUGAGAUGUUUAAGUUUUUUCUUUUUGUCCUAAGUCAAACAUCUCUAAGUUUGACUGAAUUUGUAGAAAAUACAUCAACAUCUACAACACCAAUAGUUUCAUUAAAUCUGCAUAUAAUAUGCCUUGGUAGUUCAUUUAUUUGGUAUGAUAAAUGUUAAUAUUUUUUUAUAUAAAUUUGAUGAAAAUUAGAAAGUUUGGCUUAUGGCAAAACUAAAACACGAACAGAGGGAAGCAACAUUAACAUCUUGCUUGGAAAGUUUAUCAGCAACAUUAGCAUCUAUUGCCGCGCGAAGGGGAAGCAGUCUGGCCAGCGCUUCCCCUGCUUUGCGCCUCAGUCUGGUGGACUUAUGUUCUCUGUCUGCUCGUUCAAGUUCGGCUAUAGUACUGUCAGCCACGUCCACUAUAGCCAUGUCCCCUGCAGUAUUGCUGGCCUAUUUCUCAAGGACGAUUCUUACCAGGGCCUUUAAAAGCUUUUUGAAAUCAAGUUUCUUGAAAGAAUCAUCAAAGGCUAAAUCUGUCAUGAUCUCCAGGGCUUGUUCACUUAGUUCUUGGGCACUUUCACUGUCAACAGGCUCCAAAAUAGCCAUCAGGUUACUGACGGCUUCCGCUUUACUUGCCAGCUCCUGGCGCAGCCUUGUGGCGCCGUCUCCGGGGCUGCUAAGUAGCCUGCUCACCACUGAGGAAGUCAUGGCUGCCGGCCGGGAGCCCCCAAGGCCCCGCCGAGAAGAUGAUGUGCUCGCGGUUCCAGUGUUCCAUGGGGUACCCAUAGAUGGCAACGACGACGGCGACGAAAGCUUCAUGGUCGAAGUGGAAGCAAUUCGGCGUCUCCUCGUGAUGCUCCAGGUUGACGACGUGCUCGCGGCCAAGGAGGUGCGCCAGCUGAAUGGCACUCGUCUCGUCUUCCUCCUGGGCGACGGCUCUCGCUCCAAACUCCGGCGAGCGGCUCAUGCCCUGGUCUCUGCUCGGGAGGCGAUUCGUGUGCCCCCGGUCCUUUCUCUUUGGCCGAGCUCUGCGCGAUGGGUGCUCUGCGCUUCCCAUCCAGGACGACCGGCGGCAGCGACAGGCCGGAGGCUUAACCGGUGAGGGGAGAGAGGACACAAAAAAGAGAUAGGCAGGGACACUACGUAAAACUCGCAUUCAUGACAGGGGUCUAUCUGUAAAUAAUCGGAUCGCGAUUAAUAUUAGCGAUCCAAAUCAGGAGGUAAAUUCAAAUAUUUGGAUCACGAUUAAUAGUCACGAUUCAAAUGGGUCUAUCUAGAAAUUUUCUCCAUCUCUAAUUUGUAUCAGCCCAUUGCAUUUUGCCGAAUUGGUUUCUUUCUUUCUUUUACUGUCAAUUGUCAAAUACCAUCUGUUGGUCAGGAUGAAGCAUCUAUUACCAAAUAAGAAUAGACCAAUGUGCGAGUGCUAGGGUGCAUGGGAAAUUGGAGACAGUAGAUUGGAGGCUAUACAUUGGGAAACUCUGUUGUAGCAGUUAGCUACUUGUUUGCUGUCAGGUACAGAAUCCUGAACAAAUGGCCUCUGCUUGACUUCAGUAGUGCAGUUAGUCUCUGCUUCACCAGGGGAUGUGGAACCUGAAACACAUUCAGAGAUUAAAACAGGUGCACAAUCUCAGGGCAGGCUGCCAAUGAUCGUGUUCGCACAUUAGAAAUAACGAGUCAUGGAAAGAUAGAUUUAUCAAUUAUCAAAUGCAAAGCUGUUCGACGGAUAUAAUUUAGAUAAUGAAAAAAGAACAGUUCCAGCCUUUGCUUCUUUAGAAACAUAGCACAUGUACUUGUUGCAACUAGUUUAGUACGCAGACUGAUAUGGGAGCAUCACACAAACCGUGAUAUUAACAGAAAAAAUGGGGUUACAAAUACAAAACUUAGGCCCUGUUUGGGAAGGGCGUGUUAAAAUUUAACAGGGUGUUAAACUUUAACACCCUCAAAUAAAGGUGUUAAACUUUAGUAUCUUGAGGUGUUUGGAUGAUCUGUUAAAAUUUAACACCUUAGGUUGUAAUUGACAACUUUACCCCUCAUUACUCCUCUCAAUGGCAGCCAAAUACCCCUUCUUCCUUCUUCUCCUUCCUCCUCCUUCCUUCUUCCUCCUUUCCUGCACCUGCCGCCUCCGGCCCCACCCCUGCUCGGUCCACGCCGUGCCCGGCGCCAACGUCGGCGUCGACGCUGCCGGCCGCCCCGUCGGCCCCUCCCCUGCGCAUGCCGCCUCCGGCCCCGCCCCGCCGCCGGCGUCCCCUACCGCGGCGCUAGCGGCCGCGCCCGCCCGAGCCCCCAACGCCACCACCGCGCCCGCCCGAGCCCCCACCGCCACCACCUGCGCCGCCCGCCGGUCCCCACACCACCGGAUCGGCCUCGCCCGCGCCCGCACCCGCCGGCCGCGCCAGCCGCCGCCCACGCGAGGCCGCCCGCGCUGGCCGCCGCCUGCCGCCCGCGCGAGCCCGCCGCGUGCUGCCCAGCGUGGCAUCCCGACGCAGGAGCGGCGCGGACCGGCGGUGGCGCGCGAUGGGCGGACCAGCGGCGGCGCGACGGGCGGACUGGCGGCGGUGCGCGACGUGCGGAUCGGGGAAGGAAGAUGGGGGCAGUGGAGGAGAGAGAAGAGGAGAGAGAGGGGGGCAACCAGGGAAUAAGUGGGGAGGGGGACCACUUUUAACACCUUUAGCACAUUUUAACACCCCCUCCAUGUGUUUAUGAAAAGAGGGGUGUUAAAUUUUAACACUUCAUCUUUAACACUUGUGUUUGGCAACCAAAAGUGUUAAAAUCUGUUAAAAAGGGGGUGUUAAACUUUAACACCCCCUUCCCAAACAGGCCCUUAGAUAGCACGCGACUACAUUGUCAACAAGAAUUGUAGAUCCCAGUUCUGGAAUAAGAAUAAAAAUACAGAUUUUUAUUUUGUCAAACAAAUAGCCUAGAAGACGAUCCAAGAUAAAUCUUUGAUAAAAAACAAGAUAAUAUACUUAACGAUGUCCCCUUUGUCAGACAGAGAUAUCAAUUACCCUGUUCUUGUGCUGUCUUUAGGAGUCCUUGUCCUUCUUUGACUAGAGAAGCGAGAGACCUCGCUGGCUUGAUCACCUCACGAUCAUUCCCAGCAAAGAGCAUGCAGUUAUCAACCUCCGACAUGGUUCCCAAAGUCUCGGUCAGUGCUUCCUUGAAAUUAUGUUCAUUGAAAUAUUGGAUGCAGCUGGGCUUGGCUUGAAUCAUAGCUAUCACCAUCUGGCAGGUAAGUUUCACUACUCUCAAACACUCAGACUCAACCGUGCAUUGCUUGUUUACUUUCAGUAUGUCUUUGAGCUUCUUCGCAAGUGCUGCAUCUUCAGGGGUGGAUUGAGCAAAAUCUUCUCUACUGAUCACAUUUUCGUUGCAUAUCACCACGGUGAGGGAUAACAUGGCUGCCAUAAACUUUCUUUCCUCGGAUUGCUUUUCAUCUCCCUGAGUGUGAGGCUGUGUACUAUCAGCUUCUCCUGGGGGCUGGUUUUCCGCAAAAUUUUCUGCUGCAUCUGCACUUGUUCCCAUUUUACUAGAUAAUAUUUGAUCGAGCACCUGUAACAAACAUAAUUUAAUGCAAAGGACCAGCAAUAUUGAUGCAACUCAUCUCUAGUGGAAAUUUUUGUACACUACAGAAUUAUGAGAAAUUAACUGACAUCUGAGAAUUGGGAAUAAGAUCCAACAUGAUGCAGAGGCAGAAGAAGCGAGAGUUGUCGUCAAUUUUUCUUUUGUUCUAAACAAAAAUAGGCAGAGGUAGCUAGUUACCUUGGUCAAUAGGUUGAUCGCCUCUUGCUUGGAAAUUAUAACAUCUCUUUCUCUUGCAGUGCUAACGGGAAGCAAUCUGGCCAGUGCUUCCCCUGCUUUUCCCCUCAUCAGUCUGGUGGCAUUUUCCCUAUCAGCUUGUUCCACUUGAACUACAGUAUUAUUGCUGGGCGCUUCCUCAAGGAAGAUGCAUAGCAGGGCCUUGAGAAGCUUGUUAAACUCCAGCUUUUUGAAAGAAUCAUUCAAGGCUAACUCCGUCAGGAUCUCCAGGGCUUGUCCAUGCAGUUCUUGGGCAGCUCCGCUGUCAGUCUCCAAAAUAGCCAUCAGAUUCAAAAACAUAUGGCUCUGCCCUCAUAUAACUGUGUCCUUUGUCACUACAACAAAAUUGAGAUACUCUUCCAUCUUUUGCUGGAAUGCCCGUUUGCUCAAGACUGUUGGAUCCAUUUAGACCUUUAUGCAGAUUUACAACUGGAUCCUUUUUCCAUUAUGAAUACCUUCAAAACUCAGCUUCAAGUUCCCUUCUUCAUGAAAAUUAUCAUAAUUAUGAGCUGGUGCAUAUAGAUGGCAAGAAAUGAUUCAAUCUUUCGUGACAUACCACCAACAAUUCAAGGGGCCAUCGCACGCUUUAAGACUAUUUAUUCUUUAGUUCUGCAUAGAGUUAAAGAGGUCUGGAAACAAUCAAUGGUGGAAUGGCUAGAGCUUAUGUUGUAAUCUUCAUGAUUUUCUUCUUAACCUUUUUUGUCUCUUAGUUACAAACUACAUUUUAUUCAUCCCCUUUCCUUUUAAUAUAUAACCAGCGGGGAUAAAACCCUCCUGUUUCAACAAAAAAAAAUAGCCAUCAGAUUGCUGACAGCUUCUGUUGUACUGGCAAGUUCCUGGCGCAGCCUUGUGGCGCCAUCCCCAGGGCAGGCAAGUAUCCUGCUUAACGCUGUGAGUGACUUGCUUAGCAUUCGAACAACCAUUGUGUCCUCCCGGACAUUGUUGAGAAAGUCAGGGCUGCUCAGUGGUGAUGUGAUCUUAGAGAGCAGCCUUGGGUGUUUGCUUAUCUCUGUACAGUUCUCUUCGCCCUGUGUGAGCCCCUCGAGAAUCAGCAGGCCUUGAGAAACCAGUUCUUUGGGUCCUCUAAAGGUAUAGGUAAAUCUCGACGGCGUGGGGGGCGACGAGGGGGCGCCGGCGACGACAUUGGCCGGGGACGAAGGCAACCAGCGAUGGGGACGGAGAGGAGGCAGCAUUGGGGAUGGAGGACAGCAACGGGGACGAAGGCGGCGGUGGGACGGAGGAGGCGGAGGCGGCGACGGGGACGGAGACCGGCGGUGAGGGAGGCAAACGGGCGGGAUCUCAGACGACGUGGUGAAAAUUUCGCUAAAUCUUGGGCGCGAGGGAGGUGAACAGGCGGGAUCUCAGACGACGUCAGUUACUUUUAUUUCCCCCCCCCCCACACACACACACACCUUUUAUCCCAGUUCGUAAAUGAAUCUGGGACUAAUGAUCAUUUUAUCCCGCGUCCAAUUUGCAACCGGGAUAAAAGCGUUGGCCUUUAUCCCGGUUGUAAUAAGGAACCGGGAUAAAAAGGGUACGUUCUAAGCGGGAACCGAAGAGUACCCUUUUAUCCCGAUUCCAGAUUGUAACUCAGAUAAAAGGAGGCUCCUCAACCGGGAUAAAAGGUCCCUCACCCAUUUUUCAUCUCCCGCUUAUUUUUUAGAAAUGGAUUUUAUUUAUGUUUUUGCUGGAUUUAAUGAAACAAAAAUUAAAAACUUUACAUAUUUCGAACAUGCAAAAAUAUAUUAAAUUAGCAAGUAUAUUUACAAUAAGUUUGAAUGAGUCAUAAAUUCUAUACUAUUCCUUUUUCUUCUAAAAUAAUUAUUUUAGUUCAUCACUAUCAUCAAAUUAAUUAAAUAAUUUCAACACGUGAAAAAUUCAAUUGAUGUAUGUGCUCAACAUUAUUCAUAUUGAUGGAAUAAAUCUUCAUCUCAACUAAUGUUGACAUACAAAUUUAUAUAAGUUUUCAACUGGUUUUGUUAAAGAAAAAAAAUCAGAACUUUGCAUAUUUUGACCAUGCAAAAAUAUAUUAAAUUAGCAAGUAUAUUUACAAUAAGUUUGAAUGACUCAUUAAUUCUAUACUAGUUAUUUUAGCUUCUAAAAUAAUUAUUUUACUGCAUCACGAUCAUCAAGAAAUUAUUCAAUUAAUUAAAUAAUUUCAACGCGCGAAAAAUUCAAUUGAUGUAUGUGGUUAACAUUUUUCAUAUUUAUUGAAUAAAUUUUCACCUCAACUAAUUUAAACACACAAGAAAUCAUAGAUACGUUAAAUUAAAAAUUGUGUCAAGUAGUACAUGAAAUCAUAGAACCUUACAAUAUAACUUUACAUAAAGGUGAAGCAAAUUUAGCGCAUUACAAUGUAACGUUAGAAAACUUUUUCUUCACGAAAGUUCCUUAGUCAUGAUCGCGGCGUAAAUACGGAGCCUCUUCUUUGGAUAGCAAGAUGCAUGUGUCAACUUCAACAGCGAAUGGAGACAGGCCAUCAAAUUGAUCAUAAUCAUCUGAUUGGUCUGUUUUAUCCUUGACUCCAACGAUUUUUCUUUUAAUUGGAAGAAAUAUGUGGCGCUUUGGCUCCCAUGGCUCUUCUGGAUUUCUCUUGGGUUUGCUAGACAUGUCCUUCACAUAGAAAACUUGAUGCACCUCAUUGGCAAGUACAAAUGGUUCAUCACUGUAUCCAGUCUUGCUCAGGUCUACUAUUGUCAUUUCAUACUGAUCUUUGGUUACGCCCUUAGCUUCACCCAUAGGCAACAAAAUAGAGGGAUGCAUACUGGUCCGUAUUCGAGUUCCCAUAUCUCCUCUAUGAAACCAUAAUACGAGUCCUUGCUACUGUUUCUAUCUAUGGCAUCUAUGCGGACACCACUAUUCUGGUUCGUGCUUUUCUGGUCUUGGGCUCUCAUGUAAAAUGUAUAACCAUUGAUCUCGUAGCCUUGGAAUUUCAUGAUUGUGCUAGAAGGUCCCCUAGCUAUCAAGCAAGUUGUGUGUGAAUCUCAGAGUUACCCAUAUGUUGUUGGUGCAACCAGGAGGGAAAAGUUUCCACGCGGCUUCUUAUAAGCCAGGCAUCGGAUCUUGUCAAGUUUUUGGAAACUAGCAUCUGCUUGUGAUGCUCGAUAUACAGAGCCACAACGGUUGACUGUUGCAGAACAUUGUAGUGUGCCUUGUUGAACAAAUCAGUAUCAUUUCUCAAACUUACUUUCCUUCCUAGGGUGCCCAUUUCCCGCAGCCUCCCCUUGUGGCGUGAAGUUGGAACCCCAAUUGAGUCAAUAAAAUUAACACAAAACUCAAUCACCUCCUCUAUUCCAUAUCCCUUGGCGAUGCUUCCUUCUGGAUGGGCAUGAUUAAGAACAUAGUUUUUUAGACUGACAUGAACCUCUCAAAAGGCCACAUAUUGUAUAAGUAUACUAGUCCGAGAAUACUACUCUCUUUUACUAGGUGAACCAGGAGGUGCGUCAUAAUAUUGAAGAAGGAUGGUGGAAAUACCAACUCAAAGCUGACAAGACGUUUGCACCACAUCAUUUUGUAGCUUUGUUAGCUUUGAUGGAUCAAUUGCCUUCUGCAAAAUCGCAUUGACAAACACGCAUAGCUUUACGAGCGGCAAUCGGACAUUCUCUGGUAGAACACCCCUCAGUGCAACCGGAAGCAACUGGGUCAUCAACAUGUGGCAGUCAUGGGCCUUGAGAUUUGUGGCUGUGGCGGAACCACCUCGGAUUAACUCAACUAAAGCACAGUUAAGUCGCUUUAAAUGCGAUACUCAUGCCUUAAUCGUGCUAACUCGAGAUGCCAUCGGAUUUCAUCCGAUUUAACCACUUUGACAGGACCGAGUUUAGCAAAACCCACACGAAGGUGAGUGGUUCCAGAGAAUACAACAGGCCCAACAGUAGAUUAUAAGUUCUUACACACUUGGUUAAAAUCAGAGUUUUACAAGUUCCGAAGAAAACGACAGGAGGUAAACACAAGCGGAAACUAGCGCCGGGGUCGGAUGUCCUUGAUGAGGCCGAUCAGGACAUCAGUGAUCCCUUUCCUUGCCGUCCGAGGAGGGAUCCCACUCGACCGUCCAACCUGGAGGGAGUUGGGGCGGCCAAGAGCCAACAGGAGCAGACUUAGGAGCUGCGACUUCACCUGAAAAGAAAGCCACAAACAAGGCUGAGCUACUAAGCUCAACAAGACUUAACUGACCGGGAGUAAAACUACUCCACCACUUCUAAACAUGCGAGGCUCUUUGGCUGAGGGGUUUGUUUGCCAAAGCACUAAGUAGAUCCUUAUUUUCAAAGUUUUAGCUCAGAUUCUAAGUUCAUUAACCGGUCUAAGUCAGCAACUUACUCUAAGCAACAUAGAUCCAACCAAAAGGGUAUAUAAGCAUCAUCAAGAUCAUGUCAUCAUCAGAUUCCUUUAUUACUCAGUGUAGCAUAGCGAUCAAGUAGUCUCAAACUGCGAGAGGUAGACAAAUCGAUUCGAGUUCUUUAACCAUACAUGGUGAACCUAACCUCAUGACAUCUGCGCACCACCGAGGGUCGCUUCCUGUAUUGGCCUUCCCCAUCAAUUCCCUAACCCGUGUCGGGCCCAUUUCCUUUGGUGCAAGGUUCCACAGACCCGGCCUCUGCCGUUCUGUGACCACACUUGUGUUGGGAUACGAGGUAGGCUACACUAGCGCAAAUCAAAAUUUCUACCGCGUAAAACCAGGAAGAACUGCCGUAUAAGGAUCACGGGAUUACCACUCGACGCACUACUGGUGCGGAAGAUGUAGAUAUGCGUCGAUGCAGUGAAGACGAUCACGUAGUCAUACGUAGUCGAUCAACGUAGUCGUACGUAGUCGAUCACGUCACGUCCAGCAGCUCCUCAGCAGCUCGUCCACGUGCAGCAAGAUCGCCUCUGGUGCCGCGGCUCGUCGUCGGCUCGUCGUGGCUCGUCGGCGGCUCGUCGAUGGCUCGUCCAAGUGCUUCAGGCGCAACACCUCCAAGGUAUCCACACGUGCAGGGAGGAAGCGUCACAAGCCGGACUGCUAGAUCCGCGAGUUGCAACAGGCGAGGGCGUGGGAGGCGCGGCAGGUGUGUUUCGCCAAAAAGGUGUAAACCCUAGGGCGCCCCCACCCCUCUAUUUAUAGAGGUUCCUGACGGGCCUCUAGAUCCGAGGCCCAUUAGUACUUCUAAACCUAAUCCAACUCAGAUCUGAUCCGAAUUGGGCUUCCAGCCCCUUAAGUGUGUGACCCUAUGGGUUCGGAUACGUAUAGACAUGGCCCGAGUACUCCUACUCGGCCCAAUAGUCGGUACCGGCCUCUAGCAAGACGUGCCAACUCCUAUACGUACAUGAAGAUCAUAUCAGACGAACCACCACAACAUAAUAUACAUGCUAUUCCCUUUGCCUCACGAUAUUUGGUCUAGCUUCAAGCCGACCGCUCUUUCUCGAUCCUGUGAUUCGGAAUCCCUUUGUAGGUUAACUCUUAACCGUACGUAGCAUGGCCAUCAUUUUCGGAUCCGAUCACUCGAGGGGCCCAGAGAUAUCACUCUCAAUCAGAGAGGGGCAAAUCCCAUCUUGAUUGACCAUGUCUCAUAGCAUGCUUCUUGACAAACCCGAAAGCUACCUUUAUAACUACCCUGUUACGGCGUAGCGUUUGAUAGCCCCUAAGUAGGUCGAUCCACAUCUAGAAUACAUGCGACAAUCUCAGGUCUAAGGACAAAGCGUAUAUGUUGUUUUAAAGAGAUAACUACUUCUCGUGUUGGGUCAGUCCUAGCACAUGUCUCCACAUGUGUCCACAUUAUUAGUUCAACAUCUCCAUGUCUAUGACUUGUGAAACAUAGUCAUCAACUAAUACAUGUGCUAGUCUAAUAUUCAUGUGUGUCCUCACAUGAACUCCGACUAGGGACAACUUUUAGAAUAAUCAUACAAGUAAAGAGUUUCACAUACAAUUCACAUAAUUGCAAAUCAAUUCAAGUAGCCUUUAAUGGAUAUUCAAUGAACACAAUAUACAAAUCAUGGAUACAAAUGGAAUAUCAUCAUCUCUAUAAUUGCCUCUAGGGCAUACCUCCAACAGUCUCCCACUUGCACUAGAGUCAAUCUAGAAGGUACCUAAUACCCAUAGCUCUUACAUGCACAUCAUGCUUAGCCUGCGGGAGUGGUUUUGUCAACGGAUCAGAAAUGUUCAGAUCCGUGUGUAUUUUGCAUAUCUGAUCUCACCCCGGUUAACGAAGUCUCGAAUGAGAUGAAAUCGCCGCAUUACGUGUUUGUUCUUCUGGUGGUUCCUUGGCUCCUUUGCUUGCGCAAUUGCCCCAUUAUUAUCACAGUAGAGAUUCAAUGGGCUGGACGCAUUCGGGAACACACCAAGCUCAAUGAGGAAAUUCCUUAUCCAAACACCUUCCUUCGCGGCUUCCGAAGCCGCGAUGUACUCGGCUUCUGUCGUAGAAUCGGCCACCGUCUCCUGCUUGGAACUCUUCCAACUAACAGCACCACCAUUUAGCGUGAACACAAAUCCUGAUUGUGACUUUGAAUCAUCUUUGUCGGUUUGGAAACUAGCAUCGGUGUAACCUGUUACAACGAGCUCCUCCUCACCUCCAUAGACGAGGAACAUAUCUUUAGUCCUUCUCAAGUACUUAAGAAUGUUUUUCACCGCUGUCCAGUGACUCUCACCUGGAUCAGAUUAGUGUCUGCUUGUCAUACUUAGCGCAUAUGAAACAUCUGGGCGAGUACUUAUCAUUGCAUACAUGAUAGAUCCAAUAGCCGAGGCAUAUGGCACUCUACUCAUGCGAUCCCGCUCAUCAGCAGUCGAAGGACACUGAGUCUUGCUGAGAUGUAUGCCAUGUGACAUAGGCAAGAACCCUUUCUUUGCCUCUUCCAUGUUGAACCGCUUCAACACUUUGUCAAUGUAAGUAUCUUGGCUUAAACCUAUAAGCCUUCUCGAUCUAUCUCUAUAGAUCUUAAUACCCAGAAUAUAUGCCGCUUCCUCUAAGUCCUUCAUCGAAAAACUAUUUUUCAAUGAAGUCUUUACGGACUCAAGCAUAGGAAUGUUAUUUCCAAUCAGUAAUAUGUCAUCCACAUAUAAGAUUAGAAAUACUACAGAGCUCCCACUAACCUUCUUGUAAACACAAGACUCUUCUUCGUUCUUGGUGAAGUCAAACCCUUUGACCACUUCAUCAAAACGAAUGUUCCAACUCCUAGAUGCUUGCUUCAAUCCAUAAAUGGAUCUCUGAAGCUUGCAUAUCUUUCCAGCAUUUUUCGGAUCGACAAAACCCUCAGGCUGUAUCAUAUACACGUCCUCAGUUAGGUUUCCAUUCAGGAAAGCUGUCUUGACAUCCACCUGCCAUAUCUCAUAAUCGAAAUAUGCAGCUAUAGCUAGAAUAAUCCGAAUAGACUUAAGCAUCACUACGGGCGAGAAGGUCUCGUCGUAGUCAACUCCUUGAACUUGUCGAAAACCUUUUGCGACAAGUCAUGCUUUAUAGAUGUGAACAUUUCCAUCCAUGUCCUUUUUCUUCUUAUAGAUCCACUUGCACUCAAUGGCUUUAACACCAUCAGGCGGGUCAACCAAGUUCCAAACUUGAUUGUCUCCCAUGGACUCUAUUUCGGAUUGCAUGGCACUCUGCCAUUUUUCGGAGUCUGGGUCCAUCAUUGCUUCUGCAUAUGUCGCAGGCUCAUCAUUGUCCAACAAUAAUAUUUCCCGCAUUUCGCGAAGCCUUGCCGACCUUCGUGGUUGUGGCGGUGCUUCUCUUGCCAUGGGUAUCUCAACUUGUUCUGCUACGUUAGCAUCACUCAUUGAUUCUUGCCCGAUCGGCUCAUCUUGAACUUCUUCAAGAUGCACUGUCUUUCCACUCUUUUCUCCUUUGAGAAACUCUUUCUCUAGGAAAACCCCGUUCCGAGCGACAAACACUUUGCCUUCUGAUCGGUUGUAGAAAUAAUAUCCCAAGGUUUCCUUUGGAUAUCCCACGAAAAUACACUUAUCCGACUUGGGUGUGAUCUUGUCCGACUGAAGUCGCUUGACAAACACUUCACAUCCCCAAAUCUUUAGAAAAGACAAACUAGGAACCUUUCCAGUCCAUAUCUCAUAUGGUGUCUUAACUACGGAUUUAGAUGGUACCCUAUUAAGUGUGAAAGCUGCUGUUUCUAGAGCGUAUCCCCAAAAUGACAACGGUAGGUCCGACUGGCUCAUCAUUGAUCGAACCAUGUCUAACAAAGUUCGAUUACGUCGCUCGGACACACCGUUUCUCUGAGGUGUUCAGGCGGCGUAAGUUGUGGAACAAUUCCGCAACUCUUUAGAUGAUUGCUAAACUCGUGGCUCAAAUACUCGCCUCCACGAUCAGAUCGUAAGGCCUUAAUUUUCUUGCCACGCUGAUUUUCAACUUCAUUCUGAAAUUCCUUGAACUUUUCAAAGGUUUCAGACUUGUGCCUCAUCAAGUAGACAUAGCCAUAUCUACUAAAAUCAUCAGUGAAAGUUAUGAAGUAUUGGAAUCCUCCUCUAGCCGUCGUGCUCAUCGGUCCGCAUACAUCACUAUGUACGAGUUCCAACAAGUCUACUGCUCUCUCAGGAAAUCCUGUGAAAGACGUCUUGGUCAUCUUGCCUAGCAAGCAAGCCUCACAUGUCUCGUAUGAUUCAAAAUCAAACGAAGUUAGAAGUCCAUCAGAAUGGAGCUUCUUCAUGCAUUUUUCACUUAUAUGACCCAAACAACAAUGCCACAAGUAGGUAGGACUCAAAUCAUUAGGCCGAGGCCUUUUAGCACUUACAUUACAGACAGGUGAACCAUCAAGAUUUAAGAUAAAUAAUCCAUUCACAAUGGGUGCAAAAGCCAUAAACAUAUUAUUCUUAGAGAUCACACAACCAUUGUUUUCACUCGCAAAUGAAUAACCAUCCUUCAUCAAGCAUGAAGGAGACAAAAUGUUUCGACUUAAACUAGGAACAAAAUAACAAUUAUUCAACUCCAUAAUAAAUCCUGACGGGAGGUGGAGUUGCAUCGUCCCGACGGUCAACGCAGCAACUCUUGCAUUAUUGCCCACGCGGAAAUCAACUUCUCCUCUUUCCACGCUUCUACUUCUUAUCAUUCCCUGCAUCAAAUUGCAAAUAUGAGCAACCGAUCCGGUAUCAAAUACCCAAGAAUUAAUAAUUGUAUCAGCGAGAAAUAUGUUGUCUAUAACAUUAAUAACAAGCGUACCUGAGGUAGAAGUACUCUUACUUCUGCCAUUCUUCAAUGAAGCUAGGUACUGCUUGCAGUUUCUUUUCCACUGACCAAGUUCAUGACAGUAAAAGCACUCUUUGUCUGGAGCAGGUCCAGGUCCAGCUUUAACCUUGGGCGCUGGGUUUGGCUUGGACGUUCCAGCCUUGCCCUUCUUCUUCCAAGAAUUGCCCUUCUUCUUAAAGCUAGGCUUGUUCUGUAUAGCCAUCACAUGGCUGGUACUAGCGCUUUUCUUGAUGUCCACCUCUGCUGUCUUGAGCAUACCACACAGUUCAUUCAAACCCUUUUCCGUCCCAUGCAUAUGGUAGUUCGAGAUGAAGUUCCCAUAGCUAGGCGGAAGAGAUGAAAGAAUGAAGUCAGUGGCCAACUCUUUGCCCAUUGGGAAGCCCAGCUUCUCCAAUCACUGAGUGUAACCAACCAUCUUGAUUACAUGUGGUCCUACUGCUGCGCCUUCUGCUAACUUGCACUCCAGAAAGGCUUUGGACACAUUGAACCUUUCGGUCCUAGCCUGUGUCUGGAACAUGUCCUUGAGUGUCACGAUCAUAUCGUGUGCCUCAUGAUUUGUUUCGAACUGCAUCUGCAGCUCGGGUUCCAUGCAAGCAAGCAUAAGGCAGCUUACCUCAAGAUUAGCAUCAAAUGCCUUCUUGUAAGCAGCCUUAACGGCAGUAGAUGCAUCAUCAGCAGGUACUGGUGGUAGUGGGGUGUCUAGAACAUCUUCCUUUUUAUCGGCCCUGAGAACAAUUCUCAGGUUACGGAUCCAAUCCGAGUAGUUUGUUCCAUUCAACUUGUCCUUCUCAAGGACCGAACGCAAAGCAAACGAUGUGGUGGUGUUGCUAGGUGCCAUUUAAUCUACAACAAAAGUAAUGCAAAAUACACUAAGACAAACGUAUCCAUGAUAGAGCAAAUUAUAUUAAACUAUUUUAACAGAAUCUACUCCCACUAAAAUCAAUAUCCCUCUAUUGAAACUUAGUGAUUCAGGAUCCACAACUAACAAGUCCACUAGUGAGCUUUAGCAUCACCGCUAGCAAACGAGGUAGAUCGGUAAGCAACUUUUGCUAAUCAUAUCACAUAUGACUCCUAUUGUUGGGUGACAUCUCUAUGUCUCGGUGCCCAACCUUUAUGCCCCAAGGUCCUUAACCGUUAAGAUAACCUUGUUAAGCAAACCAACCCUUAUGCAUGUAAGUGUCCGACACAAACCCGUCUAGUCAAGGAAAACUAGUGGCACCCUAAUUUCAUAGACCCACCACUAAUUGUACAAGACAUGGGACGGUGCAAGUUUUAGUUGGGAGGGCAUACUAACUUAAACUUUGUGAGGGAUCGUUCUACUUCUAACAUCACAGCAUGCAGAAAGUAAAACAUAAACAGAAUAGCAUUCACACAGUUGUGACAAAGUAUGGCCCGUUUUCAUAUGGUGAUCUCCAUCUCCAUAGAACCUGUUCACCAUGGUGAUCUCCAUCUCCAUGUUCCAUGUGUGCCAUCCUCCUGGUGAUGAGUCCUCCAAGAACUAGAGCAUGCUAUUACGCCUAAUAGCUAGUAAAGAAUCUAGUAAUGAAGAUUACAUAGUUGCUUGGAUCAUCACAGAUUGGUACGCAGACCAUUAAAUACAAUAAAGUGACAACACAUAUGACUCCUGCCGUGUUGCCGUACGCGCGACACGCAGGUCACAAAUGAGUUACACACAUGCAUCACAUACACAAGGGGCCAUACUGAUCACAAGAUACAUACAUAUAUCCUGCAAAACAGAGUUAGGCGUCCUAACGUUCCAAACUUCGGAGGCCCGAAACUCCAUCUUCCAAGCCGAAUUUGGGAAAUCUAAUUUUGCCGAAAACGGCAAAGCCGUUGAAUUUCAUGUGUAACUUUUUCCGUAGAUCAAUUUUCAUAUAAAAUUCGCCCCGAUCCGAGAUCAUACCGAAAAGUUACGGCUGAUUUACCGAAGUAUACGCAUACGACAAAAAUCCCGACCCCGGCAGUAGAUCACAUCUACCAUUGCACAUCUAAUGCGCCUGGCGUAUGACCCUGGAUUUCGAUUCGACCAAUCAUAUUGAUCUUCGCUCACUGCAACUGGAUUUACAUGUAUCACUUAACUCCGAUGGCGGAAACCGACCGGUAGGAGUAUGUCGUUACACUACCAUUGCAGCAAGGGCACGAAAACAGGACAUAGAUCAAACGGAAAACUCGCAUAUCUCCAUAUGCACACAUCCCGAAUCCAAAACUAAGCAGCUACGGCUCUUGAUACCACUGUUGGGAUACGAGGUAGGCUACACUAGCGCAAAUCAAAAUUUCUACCGCGUAAAACCAGGAAGAACUGCCGUAUAAGGAUCACGGGAUUACCACUCGACGCACUAUUGGUGCGGAAGAUGUAGAUAUGCGUUGAUGCAGUGAAGACGAUCACGUAGUCGUACGUAGUCGAUCAACGUAGUCGUACGUAGUCGAUCACGUCACGUCCAGCAGCUCCUCAGCAGCUCGUCCACGUGCAGCAAGAUCGCCUCCGGUGCCGCGGCUCGUCGUCGGCUCGUCGUGGCUCGUCGUCGGCUCGUCAUGGCUCGUCCAAGUGCUGCAGGCGCAACACCUCCAAGGUAUCCACACGUGCAGGGAGGAAGCGUCACAAGCCGGACUGCUAGAUCCGCGAGUUGCAACAGGCGAGGGCGUGGGAGGCGCAGCAGGUGUGUUUCGUCAAAAAGGUGUAAACCCUAGGGCGCCCCCACCCCUCUAUUUAUAGAGGUUCCUGACGGGCCUCUGGAUCCGAGGCCCAUUAGUACUUCUAAACCUAAUCCAACUCGGAUCUAAUCCGAAUUGGGCUUCCAGCCCCUUAAGUGUGUGACCCUAUGGGUUCGGAUACGUAUAGACAUGGCCCGAGUACUCCUACUCGGCCCAAUAGUCGGUACUGGCCUCUAGCAAGACGUGCCAACUCCUAUACGUACAUGAAGAUCAUAUCAGACGAACCAUCACAACAUAAUAUACGUGCUAUUCCCUUUGCCUCACGAUAUUUGGUCUAGCUUCAAGCCGACCGCUCUUUCUCGAUCCUGUGAUUCGGAAUCCCUUUGUAGGUUAACUCUUAACCGUACGUAGCAUGGCCAUGCAUUUUCGGAUCCGAUCACUCGAGGGGCCAGAGAUAUCACUCUCAAUCAGAGAGGGGCAAAUCCCAUCUUGAUUGACCAUGUCUCAUAGCAUGCUUCUUGACAAACCCGAAAGCUACCUUUAUAACUACCCUGUUACGGCGUAGCGUUUGAUAGCCCCUAAGUAGGUCGAUCCACAUCUAGAAUACAUGCAACAAUCUCAGUUCUAAGGACAAAGCGUAUAUGUUGUUUUAAAGAGAUAACUACUUCUCGUGUUGGGUCAGUCCUAGCACAUGUCUCCACAUGUGUCCACCUUAUUAGUUCAACAUCUUCAUGUCUAUGACUUGUGAAACAUAGUCAUCAACUAAUACAUGUGCUAGUCUAAUAUUCAUGUGUGUCCUCACAUGAACUCCGACUAGGGACAACUUUUAGAAUAAUCAUACAAGUAAAGAGUUUCACAUACAAUUCACAUAAUUGCAAAUCAAUUCAAGUAGACUUUAAUGGAUAUUCAAUGAACACAAUAUACAAAUCAUGGAUACAAAUGGAAUAUCAUCAUCUCUAUGAUUGCCUCUAGGGCAUACCUCCAACAACUUGCCACCACAUGCGGCUGUAGGGGAACUUCGUUCCAAGGACAAUGGGGUUAGUACUUUCAAACACUUGAUCAUGAACACCACCACUGUCAGGCCUUAACAGAUUCCAUAGACAGACGGGGCGAUUAGCCGACCACCAAAAGUUAACCAGAAUCCUGCCCCAUCCAUUGUCCUUAUAGUUGUAACAGAAGGAGAAACAACCAACUCCUAUAACUCGCGAGUGACAGGAAAUCACUCGACUUUUAUCCUAUUUAAGCAUAGCAACUACUCGGUCCAACAAACUAGUGUUCAGAUCAAGGAACUACACCAUGCAUCUACGGUUGCAAACAACUCCUAACGUAAAUGCACAAACAGGAUGAAGAAGGCAUGUGCAAGUUUAGGAAAAUUGGGGUUCAUGCUCCAGGGCUUGCCUUCAAGCGAGGAGGAAGGGAAUUGGUCUUCUACUGGGGCGGCUUCGGCUUCUGGGAGCGGUAGCUCGGCUACAGCUCUAUCUUCGGGCGCCGGGUACAGCUCGUAGAUGCUGUCAGCGAGAUGCAACUCUACACGAAUGCAAAGCAGGAGUUAGUGUUUUAGACGGAUUAAUUCAACAACACUUGCAGUUAAAGCUCGAACACUGGUAGCAAAGCUACAGAAUAGGUCGGGAAGUUUACUUAAGUUGGUGGAAAGCAAGAUCAAAGGGUCGGGUGGGAAGAAACUUAUGAUCGGACCCUUAGACUAGAGGAUUAGCUGUGCUGGGGUCCUCAGACGUAAUGUAGAGAAGUUCUCGAUUUUUACACAUAUACCCUCGGGUCAAGGAAAAAGGAUACAGCUGAGUCCUCGGGUGAGGCAGAAAAGGGUCGACGAAACAGACAGGGUCGGGCGAGAUGGAGAAAGGGGUCGGGCAAACAGACAGGGUCGGGCGGGGUGGAAAAGGGGUCGGACGGACAGAUAGGGUCGGGCGAGGCGGAAAAGGGGUCGGACGGACAGACAGGGUCGGGCGAGGCGGAAAAGGGGUCGGACGGACAGACAGGGUCGGGCGAGGCGGAAAAGGGGUCGGCAGCUUAUCUUCGAUUUAUAGGUGAAGCUUUGGGGUCGGGAAGGAGCGGACUUGGGCGGAAGGACUGAAGCACUAAAACUUGGGCAGCGGCGAUGUCCGGCGGUGCUCCGGCGGUGGCGGAGCUUCUUGUGGGCAACAAGGAAGCUCUAGCACAGCGCAGAGGAGUAAGCGGCUGGGUGGAUUGGGAAAGGAGGGUGUUGAGCGGAGAGGAGAGUUCCUCAGGAACUUAGGUGGCAGCGCUCGAGCACGAAACAGAGGAACAAGGCGGUAAGGCAGCGAUGGCGAAGGGAACUCCGGUAGGACUCUAGCGUUCCCUUUUAUAGCUGCGCGGGAAGAGAGAGAGAGCUGGAGCAGCACGAAGACCGGGAAGAAAAGAGAUGGAGUGCGCUGCCAUGGAGGUGAUUGAGCAGCGAUGGGUGGCGGAACAGGGCUUCGGGGAUGACACCUUCGGCCAUUGAGCACUGGAGAUAGGGCGGCGCAGGCACGGUUUUGCCGGUGAUUGCGGUUUGGCGGAGGCGGGCGUCGUUGUGCGGCGGAUCUGAUGGGUGUGACAAGGGAAACGGCGCUAUAAGCGAGGUUGUACAGGUGAUAAGACAGGCGGGCUGCGGCUGCGCGGGCGAGCGCGAAGCAGCGGUUUGCCGGGGUGCAGCUCUGGCAAGGCGGAAAGGAGCUGUCGCGGCUGGGGUUAGGGUUGGCGAAGGAGGAAUCGUCGUUUAGUGCAUAUGGGGCGGCGCGACUUUGGAGGGGCGGCGGAAAAGCCGGGAGGCAUCGGGCCUUGCAGCCGGGGGUCCGGCGAGGUGAUGAUGGGCACGAGCUGCAAGGCGCUGCAGAAAGGGUUGCAGAGGGGCUUCCGCUGCGAUUGGGGAAGAAGGCACGGGAAUCCAUCCGGUCGCGGCCGGUGACGGGGCGGAGCGGCGGGGGUCGGAGGAGUUGAGCCACGCGGCGGAGAAACUCUGGAGCAGGCAUGCUACUCAAGUGCGUCUGCCUCGGGAGAUCUGGGAAAAGAUAGCGGGUCCACCGGUCAGUCUCGAUUUGUCCUCUGCUCAAGAUUAAGAAGGGCACUGCCUUGGGGAACUCAGAAGGGACCGACGGAAAGGGGUCGGGUUCUCAGGAGUCGGGACCGGAACUGGAGGUUGAGCACUUAGGCUCAGGGGGAGCUGAGAUAGGGGGAUCAGGGACUCAGAUUAAGAUUAACUCGAAAGAUUUAGGGUCGAUCGUCAGAGCGAUCUUCUUUUCUUUCAUAUUUAUUAUUCCCUUUAUAUUCAAGGAUUACCCAAAUGGGAUCUUCAUACUAUUCAAGCAUUCAAACAUGUUAUCCUUCUCUUCCUUGCUGAGAGUGUAACUAGCAGGACGUAAGUAGUGUUGUCCUUUAUCUCUCUUUUCCGAAUGUAGGUCAUCCUGCUGCCCCAUGGCUUUCAGGUCCUGUUGUGCUUCCAAUGUAUCUUUUGAGGGCCCAUAAACACCCAUGAAGCCUAGCACAUUCACGCAAAGGUUCUUCAUCAGGUGCAUCACGUCUAUUGCGUUACGAACCUCUAAGAUUUCCCAAUAAGGUAGCUCCCAAAAUAUUGACUUCUUCUUCCAUAUGGCUGCACAUCUGUCAUCGUCAUUCGGAACAAGUUGGCUACCAAGACCUUUUCCAAAGGCUACCCUUACAUCCUUCAUCAUCUCAAAAACACACUUUCCAUUACGGUGUGUAGGUUUUUUACGAGUUUCUGGGGGCCCUUUGAAAUGCAUCCUGCUGUCUCUCAGCUGGUGGUGAGCGGGGAGAUAUCGACGAUGACCCACAUAGAUGACCUUCUUACAGUGCUUCAAAUAUAUGCUAUCUGUGUUUUCUAAACAGUGAGUGCAGGGCUGAUAUCCCUUGUUUUUCUGUCCUAAAAGGUUACUCAGUGCAGACCAAUCAUUGAUGGUUAUGAAUAACAAUGCUCGUAGGUUAAACAUCUCUUGUUUAUCCUCAUCCCACAAACGCACACCUUCUUCCUUCCAGAGCUAUAAAAGUUCAUCAACCAACGAUUUUAGGUACACGUCAAUGUCGUUGCCGGGUUGUUUUGGGCCUUGGAUAAGCGCCGGCAUCAUAAUGAACUUCCGCUUCAUGCACAACCAAGGAGGAAGGUUGAACAUACAUAAGGUUAGAGGCCAAGUACAAUGACCACUACUCAACUCACCGAAUGGAUUGAAUCCAUCAGUACUUAAAUCAAACCUUAUGUUCCUUGCAUCACUUUCAAAGUCCAGGAAUGCUCUAUCAAUUGAUCUCCAUUGAUCCCCAUCAGCGGGGUGUCUUAGCAUCUUAUCUUGCUUACGUUAUUAUUUGUGCCAUCGCAUCAACUUAGAAUUUACCUUGUUCCUGAACAAGCGCUUCAAGCGUGGUUAUAUAAGGAAAUACCACAUCACUUUCACAAGAACUCUCUUCUUGGGAGGCUACCCCUCGACAUCACCAAGAUCAUCUCACCUGAUCUUAUACCGCAGUGCUUCGCACAUGGGACAAGCAUCCAGUUUCUCGUAUUUAGCACCGCGAUAGAGGAUACAAUCAUUAGGACAUGCGUGUAUCUUCUGAACCUCCAAUCCUAGAGGGCAAACAAUUUGUUUAGCUUCAUAUGUUGUGGAUGGCAAUUCAUUAUUCUCGGGAAGAAUCUUCUUGACAAUUUUCAACAUCCCCUGAAAUGCCUUAUUGGACACACCAUAUUUGGUCUCCAUUGCAUAAAUUCUAGUAUGGUACCUAGUUUUUUAGGCCCUACUAGCAAUCUGGGUACAAUAAUUUUUGGUGAUCAUCUAUCAUGCACUACAACUUUGCUGCUUUCUUGUCAGUUUCGCAAUCUCUUUGUGCAUCCCUUAGCACCUGACCGAGGUCAUCAGUAGGGCCAUCUUCUACAAACUCAUCUUCAUCAACCUCGUCCAUUGUAGUAUCUGCAAAAGCUUGGCCUGCAUCUCAGAUCAGAAUAUUGUCAUCAUCAUCCUCCUCUUCGCCGUCUUCCAUUACAACCCCUCUUUCACCGUGCUUGGUCCAAACUAAAUAGUUAGGCAUGAAAUCGUAUCUAAAGACGUGACUAUGAAUAGUCCCCCAGAAAACCUUUGAAUAGUCCUUCUUGUUACUGCAUUGGGUGCAUGGACAACAUAUGAACCCGUUCCAUGGCUUGUUCGCUUUGGCCACUUUGAGAAAAUAAUGCAAGCCAUCAAUAAACUCCUUGCUCCGUCUAUCCCCAUUAUACAUCCAUUGCUGGCCCAUUUGCAUCAAAUUACACAUGAAAAUGAAUUACGCAUGAAAAUAGAUUACAAUCAAACUAUCCAUCACAUUGCUAAAAGUUUAGAUAGAAAUACACAAAUUAAAAUUUCAGACCCAAACAAUAUGGUACACUACAACAAACUCAAAUGUUGCUGAAAGUUUACAUAGAAAUACACAAAUUUAAAUUUGAGACCAACAACAAUAUGAUACACUAUGACAAACCAUUCACUAAGUACUAUCUAGAAGGACUUCAAGCAUUCUUGGGCGGCGAAGAUGAAGGUUUCGCUGACCCAGCCUCAUCCUGUGGUUUAUUUGUACAUCCUACAACGGUAGUACUAAGUGGACCUAAAAUACCCGGGACUGGCAGUGGAGCAUAAUGACCACCAAAAGGAGGUUCCUGACCCGCCGCAACAACAUCUUCAUAACAUCUUCGCAAAUAAUGAAGCAUUGUUUUCUCCCACACGCUCAUUUCUUCAGCUUAUCGUGAGGGCCAAUUAUGGCUUUCCCCUUGCCACGAGAGGAACGACGAUCUCCCCCACCAUCCCACUACCUCCAGCAGCAAAAGCCAUCCCUAUGUACCACAAUUUAUUUAGCUCAUAUUUGCAAAUAACUAUCCCACAUAAUUUACUUAUUCUAAAAAUAACUAAUUACGUAGCUCUAUUUGAAAAGUACUAAACUACGAAAGUACACCUACAAUUUAUUUACCUUAAUUUUAUGGCUAAUUUCUAAAUAUUAAAAACACAUUUACUCUAAUUUUUUCCUAAUACAUAAAAUUAAAAUCCUCUCCAUUCUACCUCACAUUUACUCUCCAUUAUCCCUCACAUUCAAACUAUCCAUCACAUUGUAACUAAAAAAUAUGUAUAAAUACAAAUCCUCUCCAUUCUCCCUCUUUCUAACAAGCAAACUCAUUUUUCUCCCUCUCUAAAGUAUAAAACAAAGCAUAACAACAAUAAAUGAAUGGAGAAAUGAAGUAGCUAACCUUCACAACACUUUGGAUGAGUGAAAUCCCCACAGAAAUGAGGGAAAAAAAUUCGGCAGCACCUCCCCUAGGCUUGCUUCAGCGCAUGGAAAGGAUGAGCUUCUCUGUCUUUGUGGAAUGGAGUGGCCUGGGCUGGACGAGUGGAGGAGGAAGAAAGGCCUCUAUCUUGCAGCUUUAAGGGGAAAAGAUUUUAUCUUGGUUGGUAAAUCCAACUGGAACAAAAGUGUGACACUUUUAUCCCGGUUGGAGUUUACUCCUUGUUGGUGGUUCCAACCGGGACGAAGACGCCACCCUUUUUAUCCCGGUUGGAAUUACCAACGAGGAGUGACAUUUUCUAGUUGAGUAACUCCAACGGGGAUAAAAGGAUGGCGCUUAUAUCCCGGUUGGAACCACCAACAGUGACAAAAAUGUGGCGCCAUCGGUGCUCGGAAUCUAGCCGUUACAACCGGGAUAAAGGGGGGGGUCUUUAGUCCCGAUUGUAAAUACCAACCGGGAGUAAAGGUCUGCCCCAUUCCAGCGGUGCACCCCCUUUUCUUCCAGGCCUACUUUAAAUCGGGACUAAAGGGCGCGGAUCGAAAGUCAGUUCUCUACUUUAGUGCACGUUUCUAAAAAUAGAUGAACCUAAUUAAUAUAGUAAGGCUAAGGCACAAAGGCUGGCUCAUCCAUCUGAUGCACGAAUGACCACAUAUCUGUUUCUAUCAAAGGCAUCAGUUGAUAGUGACCGGACCACCGAAUAGAGACAUGGGCUGGAUUUUGUGCAUGAAGAUGAAGGCCCUACCAGCUUAAUCUUGCGGCUUGUGUAGAUCGGCAAAGCAGGGCGGACGUGAAGGUCGUCACCCUCUGAAGUUGCAGGUUGCUUUAACCAGCAUCCAACGUAGGCAACUCUUUGUGCUUUAAUCUGUUGCAUGCUCAACACUACCGGCAUGAUCCUAGUGCACCAGCUGCUCUGAAGAAAAUCGUUGUUGUGGUUCAGUAUCACCAAACAGAUGCUACUGUGAAGUGUGCUACUGCCAUUCUAUCCAUACAGUGUCGACUCUUCCUUUUCCUGAAAAACACAGCAGCUCUCUGUCAGUUUACUGAUGGAGAAAGAGUUGAAUAUAUUAUAUUGAGAGAUGGCACACCUUGAUUACAUAUGCGACGCACCUUUUAGUUGUUUUCAGGCUGAUGCGUAUUUCCCUUUUGCCUUGUAUUCCCAACCAGCCGUGCAGAGUAGUUGCAACUGGCCUAUCCAACCGGAAUGCAACUGGCCUAUCACACGAGUCGCAAUUGGUAUACCAUUAGAGAAUUGGUCUAGCACCGGUGUUGCAAUUUGUGUACGACGGAAGUUGCAAUCGGUUGACCGUCUAAGUUGCAAGUGGUAUACAAACGUAGCUACAACUAGCCAUCCAGGGCAAUCGCAACUAGCCUACCCAACCGGAAUGGAACUGGCCUAUGACACGAGUCGCAACUGGUCUACCACCAGAGUUGCAAUUUGUGACGACGGAAGUUGCAAUCGGUUCAAGGGAUGAGUUGCAACUCAUAUACAAACAGUGCUGCAACUAGCCGUCUAGGGCAGUCGCAACUGGCCUAUCACACGAGUCGCAAGUAGUCUACUAGAAUAUUGCAAUUUGUUUACGACGGAAGUUGCAAUUGGUUCAAGGGAUGAGUUGCAACUGGUACACAAACAGUGCUGCAACCAGCUGUCCAGUGCAGUCGCAACUGGCCUAACCAACCAGAAUGCAACUGUCCUAUCACACGAGUCGCAACUCGUCUACCACCAGAGUUGCAAUUUGUGUAUGACGGAAGUUGCAAUUGGCUGAGGGUCUGAGUUGCAACUAGUAUACAAACGGAGCUACAACCAGCCAUCCAAGGCCGUCGCAAUUGGCCUACCCAACCGGAAUGGAACUGUCCUAUCACACGAGUCGCAAUUGGUCUACCACCAGAGUUGCAAUUUGUGACGACGGAAGUUGCAAUCGGUUCAAGGGAUGAGUUGCAACUGGUAUACAAAUGGUGUUGCAACCAGCCAUACAGGGUAGUCGCAACUGGUCUACCACAAGGUUGUAAUAAGGGCACUUAUCUGAUUGCAUCUAGUGCCAGUUGCAACCGGGCCCUUAACUGAUUGCCUCUGUUUCUGAUUUAAAAAAAAAAAACUCCUCUGUUCCAGCAGUGCAGGGGACAACCAUGAAACAACAGAAUCCUUCCAUUCCACCAAGCAAGAACCUAACCUGCACGGAGCCAAAACUACCACCCCCACCAUCAUCUAUCUGCGACUACUACGAGGGAUAACAGUAACAGCACACUGGCGGCGACGACAUUCUCAGAUGGAGGUGGAAUCUUGCACGAAGUAUAUGUAUCUGCUGAUUCAAAUAUCAUUCAGUAAAAUUCAGCAUGAAAACUAAAUAAGUGUAUCAUCUUUACCACCAAUCUCAUUUCAAAGUUGAUGGCAAUGACAUGUUUUAUCUACAUGGUGUGUUUCUGCAUUCCAGCGAUAACGGGGAGAAAUCAAAACAAAAAUGAAUACUAUUUUCUUUACAUUGACAUUUGUAAAGUAGUAUGGCUCUAGGUUUAUGUUGAUCCCCAUUCCCAGUUCUUGGUCAAAAUGAACCAUUAAGCUGGUCAAUCUAGGAACCAGCCAGUGAUGCCGAGUUCACAGCGGUACCAAAGAAGAGCUCCCAGAACCAAAGAUCCACCGCGAGCACUGAAGAAAAGAUGAGCAGAGCAAGUGUCCCAUAUCUAUUCAAAGGCCAGCCUGAAGCCUCUGCCAGUGUCUUCAAGAAUGGGAGGGAUUUGCUUUCUAGCUCUCGUCUCCUUAUUGACCAUGCUGUAACCCACUGCACAUCAGCUGGGACCAUAUGGAGCUCUUCUCCAAGGCGUCUACCCAGGUCAGGCAUAUGUCCACCACCAUAAAGAACUGCUAUUCUCUUGUACCCGCGGUUUAUUGCUUCCUUUAUCUUCUCAGUGGCAACUCUGUUCGAUAAACUGACUUUUCCUCAACAGGAGAUGUCACAGCUGUGAAUCUUUAAUAAAAACAAAAAAUAAUUAGUUCAUACUUCACUUACACUUAUUUUGCCUGUCUGGAUUCAGAGUACUCACUCAGAUGUCAGUUGCUUUGCCAAGAAAAUCUUCAGUGCAGCUCCAAAAUCUAGCUUAGACAAUGCCUCCAGCUCAGGAAAUCCAUCUUGGUUCUCUACUGGCAUCUUGAUUUUCUCAGAAAAUUUCGCUUGGCAUCAAAUAGGAACACGAUGGGGAAACGAAGGAACUCGAGAAAAAUCGAGUGGAUGGGUACCAAAUUGCUCGCGCUUCUAGCAGACGACAGGCUCGUGCAAAAUCAAGCAACGUGACGCCACGGGGGAUUCAAUCCCCGCACCCCAGCAGCAAACAUUCCUCAAAGGAAGCACGAACUUGAAAAUCCGCAUCAGCAACCACCAAUCUGGGUCCCAAAAUCGUGCCGAGCCGAGCAACAAACGAAUCCAGCAUCGCGAUGAACUAAGCAGAAGUGGGGAUGGGGAUCCGGCGGCGGCCAUCGACGAGCUCAGAGCUCCAGGGCCGAGACGAGCCUCCCGCUGGCUGCGCUCGCUCGCCCCCUGCUCGUGCGCUCGCCGCUCGCACCGAGGGGAUCCGCAGCCGCACGUGCAGACGCAUGGUCGCAGACGAGCGGGGAGGGCCCGAGGGGGCCUGACUCUAGAAAACCUGAAAAAACUCCACUGGGAAUCCAUCAAGCCCGGAGCUUUUGUUAUGCUUCACUUGAAAAAUAGCUCCUCUAACUUCCUUUUCAGUAAACUUUUUAAUCAAGAUCUCAUUUUCUUCUCUUGACACUUGUGGGAUAUCCUCUGUCAAGGAUUCGUUCGUAGAACAAAUGUUUCUUAUCCGUGAUCCAAAUAAGAUUUUAUAAUACUUAGUUAUGUAUUUUUUAAGAUUUACAUCCCCUUCUAUAAUUCCCUCUUCUUGUUCCACCUGAAAACUCUAGUUUUCUGAUGCUUGCCAUUAGCUAUCAUAUGAAAAUAUUUUGCAUUGUUGUCCCCAUUUAGCAUCUUAUUGCUUUUCGCUCUUUGAUACCAUUUUAUUUCUUCUGAUCUCAAAAGCUAUAGUCUAUCCUGAAUAUAUUGCUUUAAAUCACUUUCUUACUGACUUAGUAGCUACGAUUCUACCUUUUUGUCUAGCUCAUUUGCCUUUUUAAGGAGCUCUUGUUUUUUUUAUAUUCCCCAUUCACAUUUUUUGCCCAUCUUCUCAGAAAUUGCCUUACCCUUCUGAUCUUGUUUUGCUAUUUUUGAAGAGGAGUGGAACCUUUUCUUUCUUUGCUCCAUACAUCAGAUACUAGUUCAAAAAAAUCCUCCCUUAAAAGCCAUCUUAGUUCAAAUUUAAACAUGGGUUGCUUUCUGCUCCCACCUUCCUGUCCAAUGUUAAACAGCAAAGGUGUAUGAUCUGAAAUUUCCCUACUCAUGGUAUCAUCCGUAGCUAAAGAAAAUUGUUGUUCCCAUUCCGUGCUGACCAACACUCUAUCCAAUUUUUCAUAAGUUGGGGUUUUUAAGGAAUUAGCCCAUGUAUACUUCCUCCUAACAUUUCUACCUCCUUUAAAUUUAAGCUAUCUAUGACAACAUUAAAAAGAAAGGGCCAUUUAUCCUCAUACCUUUCAUUGUUUUUUCACAUAGGUUUCUUAUGAUACUAAAAUCUCCCCCAAGUACAAUGGGUAAGUUCUCUUUACUACAAGCAUGUACAAGCUCAGUAAGGAAAGCUUCCUUAAAUUCUGGCUGUGUUGCCCCCUUAGACAGUCACCAAUACAAACUAGAAAUUGUCCUUUCUUGUCCUUAAUCUAAACUUCACAUAAAAAUCUCCUUCAUCAAUACUACCUAUGUCUAACUCAUCUAGAUCUACUGCUAAGAGAAUACCACCUGAUCUUCCAUGUGGUUUUGUCCAAUGUCAAAUAAAAUUUUUACCCCCACAUAAAUUACUUAGUGUGGUUUGGGUAAAAUCUCUUUUUCCUGUUUCUAGAAGAGCAAUGAAAGAUAAGUUAUGCUCUUUGGUAGUAUCCAAGAGAAAUAUUAUUUUAGCCAAGUCACUAAGACCUCUGCUAUUCUAGAAGAUUCCCCUCAUUUGGAAACAAUAUUGACAUUAAAUUUGGAAAUUUUUACUUUACAAGUCUUUCUCUUUUGCGACUUAGCACAAGACUUGUGUUUUCCAACCUUAGAAUAGUAUUCUAUGUAACUAUUAUCCUCAUCAAAAACUUCUUCCAAAAGUUCCCCACAAAGGUUCUGAAUUGCUCUGCUUUCUAUUUCUUCUCUCUCCUUAUCCUCCCUGUCACUGUCCAUAGUCAUCUCACUUUGGUUAUCUAACCCUUCGUAUUGAUCUAUAACACUACUUUCUACAGUAAGGAUUUCUCUUUCCACCCUUUCCCUCUCCUUUUCGCCCUCACCCAGCCUAACACCUAGUUGGCUUACAUUACAAACAACAUUAUUCAGAGGAAAAGGAAAACAAUGUUUAGUAUCAGUGUUACCUUUAUUAUGCUCCAGGUUCUUUCUAGCUUUCAUCUUUCUGUCUUACUUAGAAUGUGCUCAUCCCCUGAGUUAGCCAAUCUUGGACUAGCCCUUGUUGGCGUGAUUAGUACCUCAGGAAUUGUAGCCACCUUCUUCAAAUCAUCUCUUCCCUCUUCCUACUCCCAACUGCUCUCUACCUCCUGUUCUUCAUUUUGAUCAUUCAUCACCUGAUCUGCCAAAUCCUCCGGAGUUUUAUCCACCGCUCUAUUCAUUAUUUCCUUAGCCUUUUCCUUAAGAAACAAUUUAAAAUCCAUUUCAUUCAUCCUUUGGACUCUCUCUUUGAGUGAUUCUUUAUCAGCCCAGCCUUGCUCAACCUGCUUAUUUUCUGUACUGUUGUCUUCCUUCUCUUUGCACAUACUGCUAUUUUUCCUUCUUUUUAUCUCUAUUCAUAUCUGGUUCAUCCUCCAUGAGAUCAUCAUCACUGUCUUCUCCCUAUCCUUGUCCUUCUGCAUCUCCCUUCCAAUCAAAUACAACUUCCUCUCCAUUCUCAUCAGUCCCCCUUCUUUCCACCUCAAGAUCUAGUUCAAAGUAAUGAUCCUCUAUCACCACAUCUAGAUGUAGGGGGAUAAGUAAGGGGUUAAGGGCUGCCACACAUACCCUUCCAAAUUCAUUUUCUCUAGUCAUCUCCAUAUCAACAGUUUGGGUAGAUCCCAGCAUUGAUCCCACUGCCCAUAGAUUCACAUACUCCCUUAAGGACUUUCUCAAACCAAACACUCUUACCCACACUUUAGGGAGAAGAAACCCAUCUUUUUUCUCUUGCCAAGCUUCAAAUUGCAGUCUCACACAUGUCUGCACUCCAUCUUCUCUAACAUCUACCCCUCCAAAAGCUAUUGCUCUCUAAAGUUCAGAUUUUGAGGGGAAUUUGGUAAUGAAAGUGUUAUCUUCAUUAUCCUCUAAUUCCCAUUUCCAUUUUCCAGAAUACAGCCUUUGCAAUUGUGAGACUACGUGUUUCUUGGAUAGCUGCCCUCCUCCAAUUCUAAUCUGGGCCUUCUUACCAAAUAAGAAUAGACCAAUGUGCGAGUGCUAAGGUGCAUGGGAAAUUGGAGACAGUAGAUUGGAGGCGAUACAUUGGGAAAUCAGUAUUGUAGCAGUUAGCUACUUGUUUGCUGUCAGGUACAGAAUCCUGAACAGAUGGCAUCUGCUUGACUUCAGUAGUUCAGUUAGUCUCUGUUUCACCAGGGGAUGUACUUGUUGCAACUAGUUCAGUACGAAGACUGAUAUGGGAGCAUCACACAAACCGUGAUAUUAACAGAAAAAAUGGGGUUACAGAUACAAAACUUAGAUAGCACGCAACUACAUUGUCAAGAAGAAUUGUAGAUCCCAGUUCUGGAAUAAGAAUAAGAAUACAGAUUUUUUAUUUUGUCAAACAAAUAGCCCAGAAGACGAUCCAAGAUAAAUCUUUGAUAAAAACAAGAUAAUAUACUUUGAUAAAAACAAGAUAAUAUACUUAACGAUGUCCCCUUUGUCAGACAGAGAUAUCAAUUACCCUGUUCUUGUGCUGUCUUUAGGAGUUCUUGUGCUUCUUUCACUAGAGAAGCGAGAGACCUCGCUGGCUUGAUCACCUCACGAUCAUUCCCAG
rnacentral:lncRNA from 1 species